GCAAUCACAAUGAACAACACAUGCAAGUCCUCUGUGAAUCUUCACCAUGCAUUAAAAGGAAACUAUCUUUAGCAGUUAUAGAAUAUUUAUAGGUUCGGAUAUGUUGGAACUGCUCUAAGGUAUAGCACCCUUCAUAACCAUACGAUUAAAAUUAUAAUAAAUAUUUUAUUAUUUAUCAUUUUGCAUGUGUAGUUGAGAUUCAUACUCCACCAUAGAUAAACAUAGCCACAGUCUUUUAUAAUUAUUAUAAGUUCUUUACCCCCCUCUUAUAAUUAUUACAAGUUCUUUAGCCCCCUCCAUUUCUUUUAUACGACGUAUAUUACAAUAUAUUGAUAUUUAGACAUAGACAUCUACGGAUCCGUCUUUAGAUUAAAUUUAUAUAGUACUAGUGAUUUUUCUACAAAUUAUGACAAACAGAACAGAAUUAAAAGACUCAUACUUGAACAAUUAAAUAUUUAAAUUACACGAGAUAAAAUGAAAAAAAAAUUACAUAUUGUUAGAGAAACGGGAGGUAAAAUAAUGGUUUGAGCCGUUUUACGGCAAGAAUGAGGGUGUUUUAGUCUUUUUCUAGAUGAUUUUGGCAUAUUGAUGAACAAAUUGAAAUGAAGUCGGAUUACUUUGGCAAAUUCGGACUACUUUUCAGUGCUGGGACAUGAACUCAUGAGGUGAUCAAAAUGCACAUGGCGUAGUAGGAGGACUGGUAAUGUAAUAAUAAUCCUUAUCAAUGUGCAUGUGUGUACUCACUCCUCAUAAAGGACAACUGGCAGAAAGUCGUAAGAGUUGGGUAUAAAUUUACUGAUCAGUUAGCCGACAAGCCAAUGAUUAAGUGCCAGAUGUAAAGAACUCAUCGGGUAAUGUUUUUUGUCAGCCAACAAUGUCCAUUGAAUGAGCAUGUACUUGCACAUGGGGAAACAUCCCUUUGAAAGCGACUGUUCAACUCCUAGGAAUGAGCAUGUGAGUGAGUGAAUCUAUGAAUCCGCUUAGCUUAUCUUAUGGGUCUUGCUCUGGUGUAUGCGCAUGCACAAUGCUAUAUUUGCUAGUGGCAACAAAUUUUCAAAACAUAUAUUGUACGAAGGACCUUACUAGACCUUGUUAAAUACAUGAAAAACCAUGCACCAGCCGGUGACCUUAGCACUUACCUUUAUUUUAAUGUUCCUUUUUUCAGCUAAGCUUUUGCACUAAAUUUCAUGCUAUUGUAGGGAAAAGCAUCACAUGACAUGCUCCAAAAUCCAGAAGGCUAAAUCACUAAUCAUUAGACAAAGUUAUUCUUAUCUCUUAAAAAAUAGAAAGCCACUUCCUUGUACUUCCUUUGUCAUGAUUCAGGUAAACUAACUUAAUUAAUAAACAAAUAGAGAUAAACUAAUUUACCAAAUGAUAAUAAAAGAUUGUGGUGAUAUUAAGAAAGAAAAUAUGACAUCUGUUAUGCUUCAUACACAUAUAGCUUGGUUUCAUUUUCAAGAGCUAAAUUUGGAUGAAAUAAAUAAUUCAAUUGAGGUGUAGUUGGAAGUUGGAACAGAAUAUAGAGACUGAUGAAGAAAGUAACAAGGGAUUUUUGACAUAUAGCUAGAAACUUUCUGCUAAAGUUUUGUUUAUUUGGUUAGAGAUCUAGUAAAGAGAAUUCAACAUAUUGCAAUAUGAUUCAUGAAUCAUACCAAAGAGCUAGCUAGAUUUUAAUUUGUUUAUUUAACCGAUCUCCCUGAUGAACAAGAGUAUCUGGGUGUUCAGAGAAGACUUUCUGAGUAAAGAAGAGGAAGAAGAAGAAGAAGAAGCAACUUUGAUUAAUUGAUCAUUCCCUUUGGUGAACUAAUUACCGAGCAGCAGCUUCUGUUUAGCUCACUCAGUAAUUGUAAAAUAGUAUCAAUUUCCUUUAUAUGGGUUUAGAUACUGACCCAAGAUUCACAAAUUUCAAACAUCACUGAAAAUAGAAACUCACACAUAAAAUCAAAAGCAACUGGGUUCCAUGCUGUAAAAAGUUAAAACAAGUACCAAAAUUAAUUAAUAUAUAAGAUCAUAAGUAUACUGAGAGAAUAAUCUUACUGAGAAAAUCUCCCAAGCUAAAGUUUUUGGCAUCAGCCCAUUGCUGAUAAUCAACAGCAGGUUUCUCUUGACUGUCAUACCAUCCCAAUGAGUCACCAACUGUGUAGUUCUUGUAAGCUUCGGCUGAUCCUGAAAAGCAAAGAAGACGAAGGAGAAGAAAACAGAAGAAAGCGAAGAAGACUGAUACGGGGCUCACUCUCUUUCUUCCCUGUUCCAUAUUUCUUUUUGGGUCUCAGUCUCACAAGUGAAACUAAUGGAACUAAUGCGCGCCUUUUAUUUUUAUAUAUGGUUUAGCAGUUCAUUAUUUAAUAACUCCUUCUGCUAAAGAACUAAGAAAAUGGUUUUGAAUAUUUUGAUGCUUUGCUGUGUCUGUGACAUAUAGUAUAUAAGAUAUGGUAUUUCUGUUAAUUGAAAUAAUAAUUAAAAAUAAUAAUAAUUUUACCAUUUUUACGAUAACCAUUCUGAGACGCUUGUGAAUGAAUAUCAUUUUCAUGAUAUGUACGGCCUUGUUUUCCUAUGGAGUUACUAAAUUGGCUUCUCUCUUUUUAAUUUGUUGUGAUGUAAUGCUGCGUCGGUGGUCUCCACUUUCCGAUAUUUUUUUUUCUUCUGUGUUCUGGUGGGCAUUGGCAUGUGGUGCAAGCAAGCAGGAUUCCUUAUAAGCACCAGCUGUCAACAAGUCUAUAUCACACAUCACGUACGCAGCUAACAAAUUAAACCUUAUUCAUUGAUCGUCGCUUUAUUGCCCGUCUUUUUCUUCCUGGAUUUUGAGGUGUGAAUAUGAUCGAAGGUUUUAUUAAGCGAGAAAACUACAGUAGAAAUUCGAUCUGCGCGUAGCAAAUUUUUAUUGAUAGAAUUGUUUUGUGGAUACGUAACUGCAAGCAUUAGAUCAGGCUUUUUUUUUCUCUAAUUAUCAUAAUUUAUAUUUAAUGAUGUUACAAUUUAGUAUAUUUAUGGUAAUAAAUUGUCCAUUUUACAUUGUGGAUGUGCAAUUGCACGUGUUAAAUCAACUAUUUUCUUUUUCUUUUUCUUUUUUUUUCAUUUUCCUUCUUUCACGGCAAGCAUAUGGGGUCUAUCUUCUAAUUUAUUUCUAUAAUCGAAUCCCCACAAGUGUAAGCAGCAAUAUUGUUUUUGGGCUAAAAAAUGGCAAAGUGCCAAGAAUUUUUCAGCGAGGUACGUAAAACCUCUUUUUAUGUUCCUAUGGUAGUGCAUUGCUUCUUAUGAUUUGACAUUUUUACCCUUUACGUGUUUGGAUUUCAAGUGGAUCAACAAAUUCUGAAAUUUUCUAAUUUACAAUAAAUUUAAAUAAAUAAACAAAAAAAAUUAUUUUUCAUUAUUAGUAAAUAAAAUAUUUUCAUAAAAGUUAAGAAGAAUGCGGGGGUAAAAGCUUAUUUAGUCCCCGUAUUUUAAGAUUAGUAUCCAUUUAGUCUCCGUAUUUUUAAAAAUACCUCGAAACAUCCUUGCCGUUAAAGUAUUGAUAUCCCUACCAUUACUUUUUAUUUCUUUUGGCUUACUUUUACAAUAUUACCCUUUUAUAAUAAUUUUUUUGUUUGGACAUUAAUAAAAAUAAAAUAAUUAAAUUAUCAAUUUAACCCUAAAAAUAAAAAAUAUAUAUAUUAAUUAUUUUUAUUUUUAUUAAUGUCCAAAAAAAAUAAUUAUAAAAGGGUAAUAUUGUAAAAGUAAUCCAAAAGAAAUAAAAAGUAACGGUAGGGGUAUCAAUACUUUAACAGCAGAGAUGUUUCGAGGUAUUUUUAAAAAUACGGGGACUAAAUGGACACUAAUCUUAAAAUAUAAGGACUAAAUAAGCUUUUACCCAGAAUGCGGUGUGCUAGUGUUUGCAUGUUAAAUACAUUUGACAAUAAUAGCUAUAUGAUUGCUUUUGCACCUAAUUCUCAUGUAGGGAAGCUAAAAAAUGGAAUUUUCAAUUAGCUAUAACUAAAUGAUUGUGAUAGAUGACUUAACAAACUCCUAAUUUGAAUAUUAAUUGUUUGAUUAAAUAUUUUACCGACCAUAUUUAUGUGUAAUGUUAAUGAUUUUCCACAAGCAUGUGAUGACAAAUAAAAAAAUUCAUUACAAGAUGAACGGUCUAAAUUCAUUCUAAAAUUAAAGAGAUAAAAUUAUACUUUGGUGUUUUCUAUCCGGAGUUGAGAGAAAUCCGAAGGGAAAAAAAAUUAAAACCCAUGUAUUUACAACAUAGCUCAAGGAUCAAAAUAAAAAUAUUUGAAGAUAAAUUUAACUUUUGAGAGACAAGUAUAAACAAAGUUUAUAUUAUAAUUGAAUUAGAGAUGUAAUGUGUUUAUUGUUACUGUGCUUUGUAAAUAAUUCAUAUAAGAAAGAGAGAGAGGCAAGUUCAAUACAUCAUGAAUAUUGACAUUUACUAUAAAUAAUCCAUAUAAGAAAGAGAAAGAAGCACGUGUUGGUGCAAGUGCCAUAAAAUUAAGCCAUUUAUGUAAUGAGCUUUGGAUCCUCUAUUAAUCUUAUCCUAAUUUUUUGAGAAUCUUGUGAUCAUUAGUAAUAAUUUAAUUGAAUGGCCAAGAUUUUUUUGCUUUUGUUUUCCAAAGUCAAUUCCUUGAAGUAGAAAAUUAAAAUAAUAAACUUCGAUAAACAAAUCCAAUAUUGUCUUUCAUUCACUAUUAUCCAAAUCCAAUAGUGCAAGUUUGAUACAAGUACUGUUAUUGCUUAGUUUUUUACUUGAUAGUUGGGAGGCAUUAGUGGUGUCGAUAAAUAAUUCAGCAUCAAACGGGAAAAUUAACCUUGAAUAUGGUUAUAGAUAGGCUGCGGAAUUAAGAAUCUAGAAGGAAAAGUUUUGAAGCAGUUUCCUCUGAGUUCGAUGCACUAGUUUCAGAAAAAGCAAGAAAGGCGGGGGAGAAGGCAAAGCAGAAAUUCCCGUCAGCAGAAUAAUGAUAACCCCAGAGGAAGAUCUAAGUCCCAAAAGAGAAACAUGAAGUGCUUUCAUUGUCAGAAAAUUGAUCACAUUAAAAAGAAGUGUAGAUUGUAGAAAAGAGAACAUGCGAGAGAAAAUAAUGACGCCCAGAAAAUGAUAAAGAGAACACUGCAACCAUAUUUGAUGGUGAUUGGGUUAUUGUUUAUGAUGAGAACUCAGUAAAUCUCACUUUUCAUACCAGUGAUUGGGUGAUUGAUGUUAGCCUAUAUGGCUAUAAAUAUUGAUUUUGAUGAUAAUAAACCACAUGUAUUGAUUAAGUAAAAAUUUAUGAAUUGUGCUUUUAUAAUAAGAAAAUGAUGUUAUGGAAUUAAAGUAUUUUGGACUAAAAUGAAAGUAUUUUAAAAUCUUUGAUAAUGUUUUAAAUUUCGAAUUUGGACCUAUUUGAAACUAUUUAAAUAUUUUGGGUCAUUCUAUAAUUUCACAUAGUUUGGGUGAAAUCAUAAUUUUAGAAAGUUUUGGGAUUGACAAAGCAUUAUUUAAAAAUAAUUCUAAAAUUGGACAUAUUUGAAAGUUUUCAUAACGUUUUGGGUCAUAAUACAGUUUUAUAAAGUUUUGGGGUCAAACUAUAAUUUUGAAAAAUAUUUCACUGUAGCAGUUACUGUAGCAAGCGGCUAGCCAGAUAUGGUAAACGACAAUAUGGAUUUUGGGCAGUAAGCUUUUGGAGCAUAAACGGCUAUCUGGAUUUCGCAAGCGGCAUGCCGCAUAUUCUGAAAUUCAAAUUUUUGCCUUAACGGUAACAUAAAAGCGGCUUACCGGAUUCCUAAACGGCAAGCCAGUUAUGGAUAGCUUGGAGGCGUGGACGUAGGCGGGGAUUGUCGAACCACGUAAAAAUUCGUGUGUUUAUUUCUCUUCUCCCUUACUCAUUUGUUAUUGUGCUUUUAUUGAUAUCGUCCACAUGAAUAUGUUAUGCUUAUAGAUGGAGGGGAGCUAGAAUGUUUUGAAGAAGUUAUGUCUCAUCAGUAUAAAAAAUGAGUGGGCUAAAGCCUUGCAAGAAGAGAUGAAAUAUUUGAAUGAAAAUUAUACUUAUGACUUAGUGAAACUACCUAAGGGAAAUAGGGCACUGGAGAACAAAUGGGUUUACAGGUUGAAGACUGAAAAUAACUUGCAACAACAUUACAAGACUAGAUUAGUUGUAAAGGGCUUCGAUCAGAAGAAAUAUGUUGAUUUUGAAAAAAUAUUUUCUUCUGUGGUGAAGAUGUCUUCUAUUCGAGUAGUUAUGAGAUUAACAGCUAGCUUAAAUUUGGAGAUUGAAUAGCUCGACGUAAAGCUCGACAUAAAGACAACUUUCUUGCACGAUGAUUUAAAGGAAGAAAUAUACAUUGAGCAACCUGAAGGGUUCAGUGUCAAAGUUAAACAAGAACUUGUGUGCAAGUUGAAGAAAAGUUCAUAUAGGCUGAAAUAGGCACUAAGGUAGUGGUACAAGAAGUUUGAUUUUUUUUUUUAUAGAGAAUCAUGAUUUUAGCAAGACUAUGUGUGACCAUUGUGUUUUUGUGAAAAAAUGGUGAUGAUGAUUUCACCAUUCUUUUGUUUUAUGUGGAUGACAUAUUGAUCGUUGGCCAGGAUGCUAGUAAGAUUGACAAUCUUUAAAGAGAGCUUAACAAGUCUUUUACAAUGAAGGACUUGGGACUGGCGAAACAAAUUAUUGACAUGAAGAUUUCCCGCGACCAAAAAUCUAAGAAGUUAUGGUUAUUUGAAAAAAACAUAUGUUGAAAGGGUUCUUUAAAUAUUUAACAUGGACAAGACAAAAUCUGUUUGUUCUCCACUUGCAAGUCAUUCUAAGCUUAGUUCUGAGCAUUAUCCUAUAAGUGAAAAAGAGAAGCAAGAGAUGAAAAGAGUUCAUUAUAUAUGCUUCAGCAGUUGGCAGUAUGAUGUAUGCCAUAAUUUGUACAAGACCAAAUAUUGCUCAUACAGUUGGUGUAGUCAGUCAGUUUCUCUCCAAUCCUAGUUAGCGGUAAAAAAGAUUAUCAGAUAUCUUAGAGGCACUUCUAAGGCAAGUUUAUAUUUUGGCAGUGACAAACUUGUGUUAUAAGUGUACACAAAUGCGGAUAUGACAAGGGAUGUUAAUUCUAGAAAAUCCUUAUCAGGAUAUUUGCUCACGUUUUUAGGGUGAGCAGUCUCAUGGCAAUCCAGACUUCAGCACUGUAUUGUCUUGUCUACAAUUGAAGUAGAGUAUAUUGUAAUAACUGAAUGUUGUAAAGAAACCUUGUGUAUGAAGAAUUUCCUACCAGAGUUGGGUGUAAGAUAAGAUAGCUAUCUAUGUUUGAUUAGGCGAUCGAAAGGCAAAAUUAACUCCGAUUUCUCCCAAAUUUUGAUGGUAAGUUCUUGGUAUCGCCUUUUACAAUCCUACUAGUCUUGAUUUUUAUUUUAUCAUCUCGUUGGCUAUUAUUUGAGAUACCCACUUAUUAUAGAGACAAUUAUUAGGUUGUUGUUGUAACCUAAGAAUAUUGAGAUUCUUAAUGUUAUUAGCCUCUAGUAUUAUCUAGAGAAUAAUUUUUUUCUGUAAUCUCAUUAAUAUAGUGGAAGAUUAUAUCGGACUACGGUCCCGUGAUUUUUCUCAUUUUGGAUUUUCCACUUAAAAAUUUGUGUAUUUUGUAGUUGUUUUUUGCUUUGGAUUUGUUGGUUUAUUUUUCUGCCUAUUUAUUUGUGGUACACAUUCUAUUUUGAUCACAUAAAGACUGAAAGAAUUUUGUUUCCGCUUAAUUUGCAACUGUUUGUGUGAGUCUCUUUCCUAACAGUGGGUGGUCUGGUUUGAUAUCAGUAUUAUUCAUUUAUUUAAGUCUUUUAUCACUAACCUAAAGUUAUGGGACAUGAGAUGUGGAAAAAAAAUUCUUAAAUAAGUGUAGAGCGCAAAAUGGCUUUGUGUCCCAAUCCUUCUUAAAAAACUUCUAAAUUUAAGGGCUAUUUUUUUUUACUUAAUGAUUUAAUUAACUUAAUUUUAGUCAGUUAAGUAAUUAACUCUAUUUGUUUUUUUAACUUAAUGAAAAUUUUCAGCCAUUAAGUCAUUAAGCUAAUUUUUUUUAUUUUUUUCUUAAUAUAAAAAGUCUAAAUAAUAUCGUUAAAAAAUAUUUUCCAAAAUAUCCUUAUCUAAUUAAUUAAUUUUUUAUCCUUAAGUGAAUUAAAUUUAAUAAUUAGCAUUAUUACUUAUCUCUAUAUAACUUGUGAUAAUAUAUAGUGGUAGAUUAUAAUUAUUUUUAUCUUUUUAUUUUCGUCAUAUUAGCAUUAUUGAUCUUCAUAAUUUUUUAUGAAUAUUUUUCAUAUAAAAACAUCAUAAAUUAUAAUAAAAUUAAUUAACAUAUAAAAUAUGGAAUAUUAAAGAGUUGUAUUCAAUUGAAUAUGAUUUAUCAUUUAUGUUAUGAUAAUUCAUUAUCUUAUUUAUAUUCUUUGAGAUGUUUAUUAUUUCUAAUAUUUAUAAUUUGUAGGGGUAUAAAAGUAAAAUAUUAGUUUUUAGAUUUUUUAAGCUAAAAAAAAAGAGCUUAAUAUUUAUUUUUAGCGAUUCAGACAAAAAAAAAAAAACGUAUCAUUCAGAUUUAGACAUUCAGCUCUAUUUAGAAUUCAGACUAAUUCAGAUUUCAGACAAAAAAACAAACGCUACCUUAAUCAUCAAACUUCUAGUUGUAAAAAUAAAUGAAGGGCAAGUAUUUUUCUUCCCCUUUUUUUUGCUUCACUUUUUUUAUACCUUAUUAAAAAAAACUCUCAUAUUAUUAAUACUAUUAAAAAAUUAAUUAAUUUUAUUACAUAUUCAAACUAUCGAUUGUAUGUUAAAUAAGUAUUGUGAAAAAAAUUUAAAUUAAGAACUUGAAAUUAAUUUCGUAUUGACUCUAUCAUAAGGAAAAUUCUAUAAUGUCGUAAUAAAAAUUACAGUAUCAAUACUGUGAUGGACAUAAAUAUUAUAAAUUACACGUAGAAUUUGUAAAUGUAAGGUAAAACUAGUAAAUUCAUACAAGAUUAUUAAUUAUUUAAAAAUUUAACAUUGUUUCUACAAAAUUUUAGUGAAAAAUAUUUUAUUCAUUUACAAAAAAAUAUUUUCUUUAAUUAAACAAAAAAAUUAAACUAAAAAAAGAGGAAUAAGUUUGAUUGAUUUGGUUACUAUGAAUUCAAUAUUUAUUCUAGGACUUUUGUAUACUUUUUCCCCAUUUCCUGUAACGACAGGUACUCGUCGCCCAAAAUUCCAACAACCUUUCAAUCAUCCAGCAACUACAUGUUUAUAAUUUUUUGCAAUAGGCGUCUGAUUUCCUUGUGAUUAAGGAAUGCUAUAACAAAUAAAAUGGCCAAGAAGCCGCGGUCAUAGUGUAAUUCACCAUAUCCGAAGAGGGAGCCAAGUAUAAUGAAAAUUUCUGCAUCUGGGCAUUUCUGAGGGCAUAUUACGAAUCUUUCAAAGUUUGAAAAUGUAAUGGAAGCACAUAAUGAAUGUGAUGAUGAUCAAUUGUGGUUUGAAUUUGGUGGCCAACUAGCGCUAUUAUCGAUCAGUGAGGGAUCCUUAGUUACGGGACUUUGCUAUGGGGCAUACGAUAUACAUAGAAACGCAAAGCUUGAGACAAACCAGAGGUUGCGUGAUUUGUACUUUGACAAUGAUAUAGGGGUGAAUCUUAAACAAUUCGAUGAAAAUUUUGAGGAUUUGAACUUUAAUGAUAUAGACGACUUUGAUGCGCUACCGACUGCGUUAAAUUACUUUACAGAUAGAGUACUCAUUGGAAGAAAAAAUGAACGCAAACUGAAUUCAUCAUUGUUAAAAAAUGUCGAUAAUCUUGAGUACUUUAGAAGUCUUCAAUGAGGUUGUUCAUCCUGGAAAACCGUAUAUGACAACUUAGACACUACAUUAAACCAAAAAUUAAACACUUGCCAAGAUAGCACUCUCACGGAGAUGAAAUACAACUUUUAUGGCUUCUGUUCUAUCAUGGGGUUCAGGUGCAUUGAAAAGUCAAAUAUGAUUAUUUUGUCUUGUAUUUAACAAUGAUUAAUAUCUUUUUUCUUUUUCCUUGACAUUGUAUCUUUGUACAUGUUCAAACAAAUGAAAUAUACAUAUAAUUUGUUUAUUGCACUUACAAAAAAUCAAUACAAUUGAGAAAAGAGAAAGAUAGAAUACAUUAUUGCUCUUGAGAUUAAUUAUUUAGGAAUAACAAAUACUCAUCUCACCAUAAAACUCCACCAGAACAUCACUUAAGCCAAAGAUUUAUUUCAUUUCUCAAGCAUUGAAUAGACGUUUUGGUCAAUCUGUUUGAUUUACACUUUAUUUUAAAGGAAAAAAUAAUAAUAAAAGUAGAGAAGAAAAUUUUCAAAUGUUAAAAUUAAAGGAUUUUUCAUUGUAGGGUUGGUAAUUUGUGGGAUUCGAUUGGGUUUUUUUAAAUUAUGGCCCAAGACCACAUUAUUGAAACGAAGUUCAAGUCCUUCAAAAGCCUUUCUAAAUUUGGACGAGCCAGGUUGGGCCAGCCUGGGGUUUUUUAUUAAUUAUAAAAUAAUUUUUUAUAAAAUAAAAAAUAAUUAAAUUAAAGAUAAUUAUCCAAUAUAUAAUAUAAUAGUAGUCCAAUACACAAAACAUUAGUAACACAAUAUAAUAAAUCACAAAUACUAAUAUAAAAAAUAUUACUUUAAUAUUUUAAGUUUUUUUUUUAUUUAAAUUUAAUUUUUUAUUUAUAAAUUAAAAUUUUAAGUCCUUAUCUAAAUUCAAUUUAUGCGGGGUUUACAUUUUUCGAACUCAUAUCUAAACUCAUGAGCUUGGGCCAGCCCAAGCUUUUUAGCUAACCCUGCUUCAUUGGCAUCUUGUUGAAGUUAUAUGAAUAAAGUUAUUUAUUCAAAAACUAGGGAUUAAUAACUUUUUUAGCUUUUCAGUCAAAUAAGUAUUGACUUGGGCUUGGCUUGCACCCAGAUGGAGCUAAAAUAAAUUUUUUAAAAAAUAAAAGCAAAAACUCCAAUGUGAACUAAAAGGUUAAAAAUAUAUAUUAAAGUCUUUAUUUUUUUUUUAAAGUCUUUCAGUGCAUUAAAAAGAUAUUAAAAUCCUUAUAGGAUAACAUAAUUAAGAUUCAAAGCGAAGUUUUAAAUUAUUAUGCUCUCUAUUCACUCUUCAGCAAAGUAAUUGAAAAGCAAUUAAUUUUUAUUAAUUAUAUAUAUUUAAGUGUAGAGAAAUUUUAUGCAAGAAAAUUAAAUGCGGGAGAGCCGAACGAUAUCGAUGGUUUUAGCAUAAAAGCAAUUUAAUUUAAUGUUCUUCUUCAAUUUAAUUACUCUAAUUUUACUCUCAAAAAAGAAAUAAAGCUAAAACAAAUUAGACGGAAAAAUUUUAUAUAUAUAUAUAUAUAUAUAUAUAUAUAUAUAUCGUGUGUGUGUGUGUGUGAAUUGUGUGACGUUUAUAACUUCAACUGCUUCUUCCUCGAGAACGCCGAUAUAUAUAUAGAAACCUAAAACCAAAAUGUAAAUAAAAGCAGUUCAUAACAAAAGAAUUCAUCUGCAAGUGAUCAUUAACAGAAUCAUGUGACGGUAGUCACAAAACAAAAAUCAAUUACAAAAUGGACAAUCUAAAUUCAGUCGGGGAAUGGAUGGAUGAGAUUAGAUCUCCUGCAAAAAAAUCAAGCCUUUUCCUAUAAAUUAAGGCUUGAGGAGAGAUUAAAAGAUCUUUUGGUCAUUUGUCAACAAAUUCAAGAGAAUGAUAAGAGAAAUAAUUUCACUUUCCACAUAUAGAGCUUGCAAAUAGCUUUAUACUUAAACUUUUCUCUUUAGAUUAAUCUCAAAACACCCUGACUUGAUCAUUGGAUUAUUCUUGAAAGUACACUCCAUAUCAAAACCCUAACUUAUUUUUUCAGGUUAUUAAAGGAAAUUAUUUUUUCAGAUUAUUAAUAUGCAUCAGCAUCAGAAAAGCAGUUCUUUCAUCUGAACUCUUGAAGUUCCCACACUAAUCCUCGAAUUGAUGGCCUGCAAAUACGUACGUACGUGUUCAAACAAAUGAAAGAUACAUGUAAUUUGUUUAUUGUACUUAUAAAUAAUCCAUACAAGUGAGAAAAGAGAAAGAUAAAAUCCAUUACAGAUCUUGAGAUUAAUUAUUUAGAAAUAACAAAUACUCAUGUCACCAUAAAACUCCACCAGAACAUCACUCAAGCCAAAUUCUUUUCCAAAUAUGUUUGGCCUAGGUGGGUUCAGAAGUGUUUUAAUAUCAUUACUAUUCGUUCAUUUAAGUUUUUUGGGAUGAAAUCUAUAUGUAGACACAUAUAAAUUGUUGUAUCAUGCAUGCAUAUUUCGUCUGACGAAUUGUUAAUGCAUCAACAUCAGAGGAUCACGUCUUUCAGUCGCUCUUGAACUCUUUCUGUUUCCACACCAAUUCUUGAAUUGAUGGCCUGCAAAAAGAGUAAAAGACGUACGUGCAUAACUUUUGUUAAUUUUCGAAAGUCAGCACCACCGGCCAAGAUAAGGCAGUCCAUGGCAUGCAAUUAUCAUCACAUAUGUAUGGACUAUAUGUAUGUCCGUGUUAAAACCCAUGCAUCCUUUUCAUGUAUUCUACCAUCCUUAUCAAUCUAUAUACAUGAGGACUAUUAAUCUUGUAACUAAUUUCAUUUCUCAAGCAUUGAAUAGAGGAAAAAAUAACAAAAGCAGGGAAGAAGAAUUUCAAAUGUUAAAACCUAGGAAUUUCUCAAAAACUCAGGAUUAAUAACCUUUUUAUCUUUGAGUGCUUCUAAAUGACUAAAAGAAUGAGAGAAAGCUGAGAGAAACUACAAUUCAAGCUGUCGUUUUGCUUCCUCUCUUUCUUUUGUUAGCUUUUUAUCUCUCUCUCUUCUCUCAGCACAUGCUUUAUUCUCUCAAUUUUCUCUCAUUCUUCUUGAUAUUUAGCAUUUUCCUUUAGCUUUUUAGUCAAAUGAGAACUUACUUGAGCCAGGCUUGGACCAUGGAUGGAGCUAAAAUAAUUUUUUUUGGAAAAAAAAGAAGUAAAAACUCCAUUGUGAACUAAAAAUUAAAAAAAUGAUAUAUUAAAGUCUUUAUUUUUAUUUUUUUUUUAAGUUUUCAGUACAUUAAAAAUAUACUAACAUCCUUUUAAGAUAACAUAAUUAAGAUUCAAAGCAAAUUUUUAAAUUAUUUUCAAAGCAAAGUUUUAAAUUAUUAUACUCCCUAUUCACUCUUUAGCAAAUUAAUUGAAAACCAAUUAAUUUUUAUUAAUUAUAUAUAUAUUCAAGGGUAGAGAAAUUUUAUGCAAGAAAAUUAAAUGCGGGAGAGCCGAUAUCGAUGGUUUUAGCGGAAAAGCAAUUUGGUUUCUUAUUCUUCUUCAAUUUAAUUUCUCUUAUUUUACUGUCACCCAAAAAAAAAAAUCAUAAAGCAAAAAAAAAAAAACAAAUUGGACAGAAACAUGAAGAUGUGUAUAUAUACCUUGGACUGAACAGAGAAGAUGACCCGAUCACCCGAAUUGAAUCGUGUGACAUUAAUAACUUCAGCCCCUUCUUCCUCAAGAACACUGAUUAUUUCAUGAAACAUAAAGUUUCUAUUCAACCCACAAAUCAAAUUCACCUCCAAAGUAGAACCCGAAGUUGAUAUGUUCAUUACUGUUGGCUCAGGGUGAUCAUCUCCUUUCAAGAGUGCUUUCUUUCUCUCAAGACUUUCCUUAUUCUUCUGCAAAUGCAUUAUAUAACUGGUCGCUUCAUCCAAUAUCUGUGGCAUUGACAGCUGCAUCAAUAAGUUUCAUGUCAGACCCACAAUCAUCGAUAAUUUCGUUGACUUUGGAAUACCAGCAUCAGAUCAGAUUCAGAUUCCGGCGAGCAGUAGCUUGUUAGCAACUUUAUAACGUUUAACUCACAGAAUUUAGAAAAACACAAUCCAGGUUACUUAGACUUGAUCGUGUGGUGGCUCUGGCAAACACCGUUACAUGCUUGCUAGAAUUUAUUAAAACUAGUAGUAUCCCAGCUAGUUUUAGCAUUGCUUUCUUUCAUAUAUACAAAAAGAUAUAUAUAUAUAUAUAUAACCAAUAUUCAAGAACCUUGGAAUUGCAAGGGAUGACAGAACCCAGCUGGGAAAUGAGAUCUUUCAUGUGCAUUCUUCGAUGUUUCUCUUUUAUGUUUCGCUGAGCCCUAGAUGAUGAACCAGCUGCAGAGCAAUUUUCCCCCACCAUAUUUUUCGGAUUCAAAUAGUACAAGUGUGCCCUAAAACACAAGAAUCAAACAAUACAAUCAUCAUCAAGUGCUUUGUUGAUUAAAAAAUUUAGUAUAAAUUUAAAAAGCAAAAAGAAAAAAGAAUUUGUUGAUACCUAAAAAAGAUGAAAUUAUGCUAGCUAGCUAUCAAUACAUGAAAGAAUUAUAUGUUGUCUGGUAUAUAAAACCAGUGUGCGUCUAUAUGUUGUCUGGUAUAUAAAACCAGUGUGCGUUCGGAUGUUUAUAGGGAGAGGGCGUAGAGAGAGAGAGAGAGAGAGAGGAUUUUUUUCUGCGCUUAUUAGCUAGGUCAGGGAACCAGAAAGUGACCUUGAUUAGUUGGUUGUGAUGUUAAAUGGUUACACGCUUUUGUUUACUAGAGGUAAAUUAUCCAACUAGUUAGAUUUAAAUUAACUGCUAAUUUAAAUUUGUGCUUGUUUUUCUUAUAAUUAAGAUGUAGCUGGUGAUUAUAAUUAUCUGAUAAUGAUCAACAUGUAAAUGGAUCUUAAUUGUUUGUCAAAUUUCUCAUAAAGUUAUAUGAUAGAAAAGAGUUGUAAGUAAUUUUUUUAAGAACUACUUGAAAGAUAAUUAAUUCGUAACGUUGGAGCUAGAAAGUGAGAAUUCGACGUAACACUAUUGGUCAAAUGAAAAUACCACACCAUCAAUAUAAAUUUUUAAUAAUAUAAUUUGUUUGGUUAGGGUUUAUUUCAUUCAUUUUAGAAGGUUUGCACAUAGCACUUAUUAAAUAAGAUUAUAAACACAAAUAUAAUACUAAGAGAAAAAAAAUAAACUAUUAGACAUAUAAAUACAAAUAGAAUAUUAAAAUAAAUAUUAAUAAAAUAAACUGUAUAUGACAUGCAAUUCUUUUUUAAUAUUAAGCUAUUUUCGAUAUGUCCUGAUUUUAUUCAUAUUUAAAUCCAUCAACUAAAAAAAUUAUUUUGAAAUUUAUGCGAAUAGAUACGUAAAAUAUUAUAACAUUAUAAAUAGAAUAUAUAAUAUAGAUUUUGCAAGUCAUUUUAAAUUUUAGACAAAAUUAUUUUAAUAUCAGUAAUCUGGAAAUAGAUUUCUUAAUUAUUAGAAUAGAUUUUAUUGUUAGCGUGUGAUUGUAUAAGAAAAAUGAUUUUGCUUUUGAAUUAUUUUGACGAUGGGUCGUGCUAUUUGUUCUCUUUGCCUUAAACUGGCAAAAGAAUAAAUCAAGGUGAAACUAAGCACUUAUACAUUUGGCCCAUCAUCGACCAUGACAUAAUUCAUCUGAUCAUCUCUAUCAUUGUUGAAUUUUUUUUCAUUUUUCCAAUUCGCGUACUAAAACAGUAAGAGGAUACUAAUAACAAGAGAAAUGCCUUUAUUGGUUUGAUUUUGCCGAUCUUAAUGAAUUUAAUUGCGGCUGGUCAACUAAUGCUGCCAUCCUGCUGGAUUCAGAUUUGGUCAUGAUCUGAGCCUUUGUUCAUCUUCUAAGAAGGUGAUGACAAGCGGUAUUUGUUGUUUUCCUCAUUUUUUUCUCUUAGUGAUCUGUCUCAAACGACAGCGUUUUUUGUUAACUACUGCUGCAAUGAAUUUUUCCGAAACUCAAGUCUUGAGCAUAAAAUACCAACAAGAUAUCUUAGGCAUAAAAAUAUUACAAAUAAAUUAUAUAAUAUAGAUCUUGUGGCUUAUUUUGAAUUUUGCAUAUAAUUAUUCUUAUAUUAUUAAUUUGUGAAAUAUGUGUCUUUACUAUUAAAGUAGAUUAUUGUUAUUGUUGUUGUUGUUGUGUGAUCGCAUAAGUGAUUGUAUAAGAAUAAUUAUUUUGCUUUUGAAUUUUGAAUUUGCUUUAUUUGCCUUAAAAUGAAAAAGGAAUAGACUCCGGUUAGUAAAAUUUUUCAAAUAGAAUUUUUACUUUUACAGCUUUUAUAAGUAGAAUUUUUUUUAAAAACAUUUGAGUCAUUUGGCUUUCAAUGCGUGAGAGCUUUUAUUAAAAUUUAUAAAAUUACUUUAAUAGAUAAUUUUUUUAAUUUAUGUUAUGUAAUAAAUGAAAUAAAAUUAUAAAAUAAAAUAAAAAAGUUAAGGGUAUUUUAGAUAAUUUAACUAUUUAAAAAAGUUCUACAACAUGUACUCCAAAGAAGACAACAAUUCUCUUUUAGGAUUCUUUCUCUCCUAAUAUCUCCAAGUGAAAUGUGUGGUUAAGAUUGAGUCUUGAACUUUUAUGUUGACAAUCAAGCUGACUUGUUUCACUUUAUUUAUAAUUAAAUCGGUUUUUUUCACUAAAUUUAGGAACUUUUUACUUCUCAAAUUGGAGUGAAAAUUCGGAGGAAUGGGUAUUUUGGGACUGAAAGUGUAGAGUGGGAAUGAAAGUACAAAAUGGAAGUAUGUUGUGUUAUUCACACUGGAAUGAGAGUAUGGAAUAGAAAUCAUAAUUCUAUUUAUGUGUUUACUUUGUCUUCGAUCAUGAGUGAAUUAUUUUGAAUUUUUUAAUUACAAAGUGAAUAAAAAAAUAUAUUGUUAAAAUAACCUUUAUUAGUUUUAAUAAAUAAAUUAAUAAUAAUUAUUAAUAUUCUUAAUGAUGUAAAUAAAAAAAUUAUUAAUUUUUAAGAAUGCAUGGAUUAAAUCGAUGAUUAGCUUAAACUACAACGAUUGAAAGAGCACUUAUCUUAUUUCAAAACCCAUCAAAAUAUUGUUGCUGUUAAAAAAAUAAAAAACCAAAAACAAAAACAAAGGUCCUGCUAAUUGACCGUCAACGUUGAUUAUAAUUUAUAGACACUGAAACACAUGCUAAUGUUUGAACUUUUUUUGUCGAUGUGCACAUAAAAGUCGGUCUGGCCGUGAUUACUGGGUUUUCACAUUGACUAAUGCGCGUUUGCUUUCACCUUAAGGAAAAUGCUAAAUAUCAAGAAUGUUGCACUCUUAACUCAAAAAUGUUGCACGUGCGGCGUGUCGGUUUUCUCCCGGACACGCACGUAAACGCAGACUGUUUUCUCCGGCCCAUUGACGGCGUGACUUUGUGACAAACACAAUUCACUCUCAUUUUUAUUGUCAUUUAGGAUAACGGAAAGGACGCAUCUACGCAGAAUAUGCUUCCCUUAAAUUUGUCAUUUAGCAUAAGGUCAUUGAUGUGGGUUCAUUGCCUUUUGAUAAUUAAUUUGUCUGUGUUUCAAUUUUCAGAUUAGCCAUCCAUUUACCCCUAUACGUUAGAAAAAUAUCCCAAGACAUCUUUGUUAUGCAAUAUGUGACACUCUUAUUUUUAUUUUAUUUUUAUCUUUUAUCAUAAUAUCAUUAUGGUGCGUUUGACCUAAUGAAUUAUAUUGUAUUAUAGUAUAUUAAAUUGUAAUACAAUAUCAUAUUUGGUGUAACUUGAAUUAUGGUGGAUGCAAUAAUAUUUUAUAUCAUUAUUUAUAUUACUAUUAAUUUUAAAUUACUAUCAUUCAAAUUUAGUAAUAUUUAUGUAUUUAUUAAUAGUUAUAUUAAAUUAUUAAAUAAUAAUAAAUUUUUGUACAUUAAGUACUAUUAUAUAAUUAAAUAAUUCAUUAUUCAGUUAUAUUUUAAUAUAAUAAAAAUAAAAAUAUAAUAUAAUAUUAUUACAUAAUAAAUUAUAAAUUUAUUAACAUAUAUAAAUAAUUGCAAUGUAAAAAUAAAAGAAAAUAAAACUUAAUAUGCUCGACUGUAAAGGUAAUUUUGUCAAUAGCAACUAUAAAGAAAAAAAAAAAAAAUUAUUUUUGUCAAUAGCAACUAAAUAGUUGCUAUUGUCAAGGCAGAACUCCGUAAGCCGAGCUGGCCUUACGGAGGAUGCAUGCAGCGUAGUUCAUCAAAAACCUGCCGGUUGAACCAGAUACUAAUAUCUGGUUAGCUAUAUAGCUCGACUGGGGCAUGUCGAAUCUAUCGUAACGUAGAGUAGAGUUGGGGGCUUAGGCAGCUGAUGCUGAGCUUCUGUUUAUACUGAAGGCCCAACAUUGUGGAUAUUAGAUAUUUACUUCUUUCAAACAUGUAUGCAGACGCAGGGAAAUGGGAUGAGGCUAGCUGGGUUAGGGCAUCGAUCAAAUCAGGAGGCAAAGAAGAAUCCUGGCUGCAGUUGGGUACAAAAAGUUAAUGAGAGAAUGAAGACCUUCACUCCGGGGCCAGUGUGAUGCAAAAUCGCACCCCCAAAACAAUUUUGUUAGAAGAGUAAGCUGAUUCUGAGGGUCUUAUUUAAUUGUCUGAGAAGUAUAUCUUUGCGGUUUUGGUAAUGGCAUUCGAGAGACCCCGCAGUCACUCCGGGUACUGGCUGAUGUGUGGAUGAUCAAUAUCCAAUUUCUCGACAACUCUGAAAAUAAAGAGAUUUUCCUCAAUGGUGUAAUAUCAGAAUAACGAAAACAUGCUGUAGAAAAAGAAUUGAUUUAUUGUUUUCCCAAGUGACCAUAUAUAUAUAUAUAUAUAUAAAAGAGCACCAAACUAGGUUAAUUGAUCAGCUCACAUAAGAUGGUAGGAAAAUUGUUGUGUGUGAAGCAAAUCCAGAAAAUCAAAACGACAGAAGACCUUGUGUUAAAUCAUCACACCAAUGUUCAAUCCAUCAACCCUCUUAAUCAUCACACCAGCCUUCUGUCACAAUAAGUUUACCUUUAACCAGCAACUAAAUAAAUCAAAAUUAAUAACAACAACAAUAAAACAAUAAUAAUUCUUAAGAGUAUGAAAAUUUUAGAAGCACAUCAGUAUAUGAGGGAUAUGUAUGUAUGUAGGUAUAUUUAUGCCCCUUCUCGUUUUUCAAAAUUUCAAGGAUAGCAAGUUGACCCCCUUGUAUAUAGCUCAACGUAUCAUCCAAAUGGACGAAGCAUCACAAUGCAAUCAGUUACACAAGAACACUGUGAAACGCAAUUCACAAUACAAAAUUUACAAAUAAAAAAUCAUACGGAUUAGAAAAAUGUAAAAUGGUACCUAGAACAAACCUUGGACGCAGAAGAAGCUAAAAGUGAGAGAGAAGGAAGCAAUAUACUUUUCUAUAUUCAAUCUCCUUCAUGUAUAUAUGAGAUAAAGAUAAUGGCGAUUACUUUGUGCAAGUGUUUUAAUCAAACGUCCUUAAAAGGGUAAUUAUACUACAAUCCCCUUUUUUGUUGUAAAAUUUAAAUUAAGUUCAUAUAUUUCUAAAUAUUGACUCAAUGGUCCUGCUUAUUUUAAUUUUUUUUAACUUACCUUAAUUGAAGCACCCAUCGUCAAAAUUUUUAAAAAGAAGAUUUACUAUAUAACCUACCUAAAUAUUUAAUAUAUCCUUACUAAAACUAAUUUUUAUUUUUACUAAAUAAAUUAAUUAAAAUAACAUAUAAAAAUUGAGUAAAUUGAUAUAACACCCCCACUAGAUUCAAUUCUAUAUCUCUAAUAAUUAGCAAUUGAAUUUUAUCACUAACCUAAAGUUAUGGAACAUGAGAUGUGGCAAAAAAAAAAAAUUCCCAAAUGAGUGUAAAGAGCAAAAUGGCUUUGUCUUCCAAUCCUUCUUAAAAAACUUCUAGACUUAAUCAUCAAACUUCUAGUUGUAAAAAUAAAUGAAGGGCAAGUCUUUUUUUUACCCCCCUUUUGUGCCUCACGUUUUGAUGCCUUAUUAAAAAACUAUCAUAUUAUUAUUACUAUUAAAAUUUUUAUCACAUAUUCAAACUAUUGACUGUCUAUUAAAUAAUUAUUACAAAAAAAAAUAUAAAUUAAGAACAUGAAAUUAAUUUCAUAUUGACUUUUAUCAUAAAAUAUGGUUUGUUUUACUAUAUAUUAAAUUAGACAAUUAGUAAGAAAGUGUAUUAAUUUAAAUAAUUUAAGCUAAGUGUAAGAAUAAGUCAUUUUAACUGUCAAAUUACCUAGGUAUGCAAUAGACCUAACUGUAAAAAGUUUAAAAUAUUAUGAACUUAUGUGUUAAAUUUUUUAAUAUUUUUUUCUUUUUAAAUUUUGUAGCAAAAAUCAGGCACUAUAGUUUCAAUAACUCAAGAAAAACAUCCUAGUUUUUAAACUAUUUUUAGGUUAGAUCUGAAUGGUGGGUUAAGAAAAGACAAAAAAAGGGGUAACUUUGCUGGACCCCUUCCGUUUUAUUUCUUUCUAUAAUUGAAAUCCCACAAAUGUAGGCAGCGAGGCAAAAUCCUUUUCAUUUUACGAUCCUUAUCCAUCUCGUAAUUAGUUUCAUGUCUCAAGCUGUCAAGCAUUAAAGUUAAAAUCAAUCGGUUUGGUUUAGAAACAUACUUAUUGCUUCUUUUUUUUUAAUUGUGCAACAUUUAUAACUUCAGUUUUUUCUUCCUCAAGAAGGCUGAUAGUUCAUAUUCCAAUUGAAUUAGAGAUGUAGUUUGUUUAUUUUACUUAUAAAUAUCAUAAUAAGUGAGGUAACAUCCAUUAUACUCAUAUCAGUGCUAAUCCUCGAAUUGAUGGCCUGCAAAUAUGUACGUACGUGUUCAAACAAAUGAAAGAUACAUGUAAUUUGUUUAUUGUACUUAUAAAAAAUCCAUACAAGUGAGAAAAGAGAAAGAUAGAAUCCAUUAUAAAUCUUGAGAUUAAUUAUCUAGGAAUAACAAAUACUCAUCUCACCAUAAAACUCCACCAGAACAUCACUCAAGCCAAAUUCUUUUCCAAAUAUGUUUGGCCUAGUGGGUUCAGAAGUGUUUUAAUAUCAUUACUAUUCGUUUAUUUAAGUUUUUUUGGGAUAAAAUCUAAAUGUAGACACAUAUAAAUUGUUGCAUCAUGCAUGCAUAUUUCGUCUGACAGAAUUGUUAAUGCAUCAGCAUCAGAGAAUCAGUUAUUUCAGCCGCUCUUGAACUCUUUCAGUUUCCACACCAAUUCUUGAAUUGACGGCCUGCAAAAGGACACACGUGCAUAAUUUUGUUAAUUUUCAAAAGCCAACACCACCGGCCAAGAAAAGGCAAUCCAUGGCAUGCAAUUAUCAACAUAUAUGUAUGGACUAUAUGUGCAUACGCGUUCAGACCCAUGCAUCCUUUUCAUUCUACGAUCCUUAUCAAUCAAUAUGCAUAUGGACUAUUAAUCUUGUGAUUUAUUUCAUUUCUCAAGCAUUGAAUAGACGUUUUGGUCAAUCUGUUUGAUUUACACUUUAUUUUAAAGGAAAAAAAUAAUAAAAGCAGAGAAGAAGAAUUUCAAAUGUUAAAAUUAAAGGAUUUUUCAUUGUAGGGUUGGCAAUUUGUGGGAUUCGACCGGGUUUUUUUAAAUUAUGGCCCAAGGCCACAUUAUUGAAACGAAGUUUAAGUCCUUCAAAUGCCUUUUUAAAUUUGGAUGAGCCAGGCUGGCCAACAUGAGGUUUUUCAUUAAUUAUAAAAUAUUUUUUAUAAAAUAAAAAAUAAUUAAAUUAAAGAUAAUUAUCCAAUAUAUAAUAUAAUAGUAGUCCGAUACACAAAAUAUUAGUAACACAAUAUAAUCAAUUACAAAUACUAAUAUAAAAAAAAUUACUUUAAUAUUUUAAAUUUUUUCUUUUCUAUUUAAAUUUAAUUUUUUAUUUAUAAAUUAAAAUGCCAAGUCUUUAUCUAAAUUCAAUCUAUGCGGGAUUUACAUUUUUCGAACUCAUAUCCAAACCCAUGAGCUUGGGCCAGCCCAGGCUUUUUAGCUAACCCUACUUCAUUAGCAUCUUUUUGAAGUUAUUUGAAUAAAGUUAUUUAUUCAAAAACUAGGGAUUAAUAACUUUUUUAGCUUUUCAGUCUAAUGAGUAUUGACUUGGGCUUGGCUUGCACCCAGAUGGAGCUAAAAUAAAUUUAAAAAAAUAAAAGCAAAAACUCCAAUGUGAACUAAAAGAUUAAAAAUAUAUAUACUCUCUAUUGGAUAACGUAAUUAAGAUUCAAAGCGAAGUUUUAAAUUAUUAUGCUCUCUAUUCACUCUUCAGCAAAGUAAUUGAAAAGCAAUUAAUUUUUAUUAAUUAUAUAUAUUCAAGUGUAGAGAAAUUUUAUGCAAGAAAAUUAAAUGCGGGAGAGCCGAUUGAUAUAGAUGGUUUUAGCAGAAAAGCAACUUGAUUUCAUGUUCUUCUUCAAUUUAAUUACUCUAAUUUUACUCUAAAAAAAGAAAUAAAGCUAAAACAAAUUAGACAGAAAAAUGAUAUAUAUAUAUAUAUAUAUCGUGUGUGUGUGUGUGUGAAUUGUGUGACGUUUAUAACUUCAGCUGCUUCUUCCUCGAGAACGCUGAUAUAUAUAUAGAAACCUAAAACCGAAAUGUAAAUAAAAACCAGUUCAUAACAAAAGAAUUCAUCUGCAAGUGAUCAUUAACAGAAUCAUGUGACGGUAGUGACAAAACAAAAAUCAAUUACAAAAAGGACAAUCUAAAUUCAGUCGGGGAAUGGAUGGAUGAGAUUAGAUCUCCUGCAAAAAAAUUCAAGCCUUUUCCUACAAAUUAAGGCUUGAGGAGAGAUUAAAAGAUCUUUUGGUCAUUUCUCAACAAAUUCAAGAGAAUGAUAAGAGAAACAAUUUCACUUUCCACAUAUAGAGCUUGCAAAUACCUUUAUACUUAAACUUUUCUCUUUAGAUUAAAAUACCCUGACUUGAUCAUUAAAGUAUUCUUCAAAGUACACUCCAUAUCAAAACCCUAACUUAUUUUUUCAGAUUAUUAAAGGAAAUUAUUUUUUUCAGAUUAUUAAUGCAUCAGCAUCAGAGAAGCAGUUCUUUCAUCUGAACUCUUGAAGUUCCCACACUAAUCCUCGAAUUGAUGGCCUGCAAAUACGUACGUACGUGUUCAAACAAAUGAAAGAUACAUGUAAUUUGUUUAUUGUACUUAUAAAUAAUCCAUACAAGUGAGAAAAGAGAAAGAUAGAAUCCAUUAUAGAUCUUGAGAUUAAUUAUUUAGAAAUAACAAAUACUCAUGUCACCAUAAAACUCCACCAGAACAUCACUCAAGCCAAAUUCUUUUCCAAAUAUGUUUGGCCUAGGUGGGUUCAGAAGUGUUUUAAUAUCAUUACUAUUCGUUCAUUUAAGUUUUUUGGGAUGAAAUCUAUAUGUAGACUCAUAUAAAUUGUUGUAUCAUGCAUGCAUAUUUCGUCUGACGAAUUGUUAAUGCAUCAACAUCAGAGGAUCACGUCUUUCAGUCGCUCUUGAACUCUUUCUGUUUCCACACCAAUUCUUGAAUUGAUGGCCUGCAAAAAGAGUAAAAGACGUACGUGCAUAACUUUUGUUAAUUUUCGAAAGUCAGCACCACCGGCCAAGAUAAGGCAGUCCAUGGCAUGCAAUUAUCAUCACAUAUGUAUGGACUAUAUGUAUGUCCGUGUUAAAACCCAUGCAUCCUUUUCAUGUAUUCUACCAUCCUUAUCAAUCUAUAUACAUGAGGACUAUUAAUCUUGUAACUAAUUUCAUUUCUCAAGCAUUGAAUAGAGGAAAAAAUAACAAAAGCAGGGAAGAAGAAUUUCAAAUGUUAAAACCUAGGAAUUUCUCAAAAACUCAGGAUUAAUAACCUUUUUAUCUUUGAGUGCUUCUAAAUGACUAAAAGAAUGAGAGAAAGCUGAGAGAAACUACAAUUCAAGCUGUCGUUUUGCUUCCUCUCUUUCUUUUGUUAGCUUUUUAUCUCUCUCUCUUCUCUCAGCACAUGCUUUAUUCUCUCAAUUUUCUCUCAUUCUUCUUGAUAUUUAGCAUUUUCCUUUAGCUUUUUAGUCAAAUGAGAACUGACUUGAGCCAGGCUUGGACCAUGGAUGGAGCUAAAAUAAUUUUUUUUGGAAAAAAGAAGAAGUAAAAACUCCAUUGUGAACUAAAAAUUAAAAAAAUGAUAUAUUAAAGUCUUUAUUUUUAUUUUUUUUUAAGUUUUCAGUACAUUAAAAAUAUACUAACAUCCUUUUAGGAUAACAUAAUUAAGAUUCAAAGCAAAUUUUUAAAUUAUUUUCAAAGCAAAGUUUUAAAUUAUUAUACUCCCUAUUCACUCUUUAGCAAAUUAAUUGAAAACCAAUUAAUUUUUAUUAAUUAUAUAUAUAUAUAUAUAUAUAUAUAUAUAUAUAUUCAAGGGUAGAGAAAUUUUAUGCAAGAAAAUUAAAUGCGGGAGAGCCGAUAUCAAUGGUUUUAGCAGAAAAGCAAUUUGGUUUCUUAUUCUUCUUCAAUUUAAUUUCUCUUAUUUUACUGUCACCCAAAAAAAAAAUCAUAACGCAAAAAAAGAAAACAAAUUGGACAGAAACAUGACGAUAUGUAUAUAUACCUUGGACUGAACAGAGAAGAUGACCCGAUCACCCGAAUUGAAUCGUGUGACAUUAAUAACUUCAGCCCCUUCUUCCUCAAGAACACUGAUUAUUUCAUGAAACAUAAAGUUUCUAUUCAACCCACAAAUCAAAUUCACCUCCAAAGUAGAACCCGAAGUUGAUAUGUUCAUUACUGUUGGCUCAGGGUGAUCAUCUCCUUUCAAGAGUGCUUUCUUUCUCUCAAGACUUUCCUUAUUCUUCUGCAAAUGCAUUAUAUAACUGGUGGCUUCAUCCAAUAUCUGUGGCAUUGACAGCUGCAUCAAUAAGUUUCAUGUCAGACCCACAAUCAUCGAUAAUUUCGUUGAUUUUGGAAUACUAGCAUCAGAUCAGAUUCAGAUUCGGGCGAGCAGUAGCUUGUUAGCAACUUUAUAACGUUUAACUCACAGAAUUUAGAAAAACACAAUCCAGGUUACUUAGACUUGAUCGUGUGGUGGCUCUGGCAAACACCGUUACAUGCUUGCUAGAAUUUAUUAAAACUAGUAGUAUCCCAGUUAGUUUUAGCAUUGCUUUCUUUCAUAUAUACAAAAAGAUAUAUAUAUAUAUAUAACCAAUAUUCAAGAACCUUGGAAUUGCAAGGGAUGACAGAACCCAGCUGGGAAAUGAGAUCUUUCAUGUGCAUUCUUCGAUGUUUCUCUUUUAUGUUUCGCUGAGCCCUAGAUGAUGAACCAGCUGCAGAGCAAUUUUCCCCCACCAUAUUAAUUUUCGGAUUCAAAUAGUACAAGUGUGCCCUAAAACACAAGAAUCAAACAAUACAAUCAUCAUCAAGUGCUUUGUUGAUUAAAAAAUUUAGUAUAAAUUUAAAAAGCAAAAAGAAAAAAGAAUUUGUUGAUACCUAAAAAAGAUGAAAUUAUGCUAGCUAGCUAUCAAUACAUGAAAGAAUUAUAUGUUGUCUGGUAUAUAAAACCAGUGUGCGUCUAUAUGUUGUCUGGUAUAUAAAACCAGUGUGCGUUCGGAUGUUUAUAGGGAGAGGGCGUAGAGAGAGAGAGAGAGAGAGAGGAUUUUUUUCUGCGCUUAUUAGCUAGGUCAGGGAACCAGACAGUGACCUUGAUUAGUUGGUUGUGUGUUAAAUGGUUACACGCUUUUGUUUACUAGAGGUAAAUUAUCCAACUAGUUAGAUUUAAAUUAACUGCUGAUUUAAAUUUGUGCUUGUUUUUCUUAUAAUUAAGAUGUAGCUGGUGAUUAUAAUUAUCUGAUAAUGAUCAACAUGUAAAUGGAUCUUAAUUGUUUGUCAAAUUUCUCAUAAAGUUAUAUGAUAGAAAAGAGUUGUAAGUAAUUUUUUUAAGAACUACUUGAAAGAUAAUUAAUUCGUAACGUUGGAGCUAGAAAGUGAGAAUUUGAUGUAACAUUAUUGGUCAAAUGAAAAUACCACAUGAUCAAUAUAAUUUUUUAAUAAUAUAGUUCGUUUGGUUAGGGUUUAUUCCAUUCAUUUUAGAAGGUUUGCACAUAGCACUUACUAAAUAAGAUUAUAAACACAAAUAUAAUACUAGGAGAAAAAAAAACUAUUAGACAUAUAAAUACAAAUAGAAUAUUAAUAAAAUAAACGAUAUAUGACAUGCAAUUCUUUUUUUUAAUAUUAAGCUAUUUUCGAUAUGCCCUAAUUUUAUUCAUAUUUAAAUCCAUCAACUAAAAAAUUUAUUUUGAAAUUUAUGCGAAUAGAUACGUUAACUAUUAUAACAUUAUAAAUAGAAUAUAUAUAAUAUAGAUUUUGUAAGUCAUUUUGAAUUUUAGACAUAAUUAUUUUAAUAUCAGUAAUCUAGAAAUAGAUUUCUUUAUUAUUAGAAUAGAUUUUAUUGUUAUCGUGUGAUUGUAUAAGUUAUGAGAAAAAAAAAUACAUUUGAUUGUAUAAGAAAAAUGAUUUUGCUUUUGAAUUAUUUUGACGAUGGGUCGUGCUAUUUGUUCUCUUUGCCUUAAACCGGCAAAAGAAUAAAUCAAGGUGAAACUAAGCAUUUAUACAUUGACCCAUCAUCCACCAUGACAUAAUUCAUCUUAGGGAAAAUAUCCACCGUCCACCUGUUUUUUACAACUUUUUCAAAAAUACACAAUUUCUUCUUUUUUUGGCUAGAAUCCAUCUAAAGUUACAUUUUGUUUCAAUUUUCCACUUCUGUUUGGAAUCCGUUAAGAAAACUAACGGAAACUUUAAAAAAUGACCAUUUUAUCCCCAAAACGAAAAUUACAAUUUCACCCUAAAAAAUGCAAAAAUUAAUCAGAUUUAAUGAUGAAUAUCAUUAUUGGUACGUUAAUGAAGUACAAAAAAAAAAAUCUUAACUACUAGAGAUUAUAACUCAAUGAAUAAUAAAACUCUACUUAUCUUAAAUUCAAUUGAUGGUUUGCGAGAUUGGACUAUUUUUAAUACUAUUGUUAUAAUUUAGCAUUCUAAUUACAGACAUAUUUAAAAAAAAAAACAUGCAUUUGAUGGUUGUGAAAUUAAUUUCUUUAUUGACCGAUGGGAAAAAUAAUUAGAUUUAAUCUGAUUAUUUUUGGUAAUUUUUAAGGUGAAAUUGUAAUUUUCGUUUUGAGGGGUAAAAUGGUCAUUUUCUUAAGUUUCCGUUAGUUUUCUUAACGGAUUCCAAACGGAAGUGGAAAAGUGAAACAAAAUAUAACUUUAGGUGGAUUCCAGCCAAAAAAAGAAAGAAUUGUGUAUUUUAAAAAAAAUUAAAAAAAAACGGAUGGACGGUAGAUAUUUUUCCUUCAUCUUAUCAUCUCUAUCAUUGUUGAAUUUUUUUUCAUUUUUCCAAUUCGCGUACUAAAACAGUAAGAGGAUACUAAUAACAAGAGAAUACCUUUAUUGGUUUGAUUUUGCCGAUCUUAAUGAAUUUAAUUGCGGCUGGUCAACUAAUGCUGCCAUCCUGCUGGAUUCAGAUUUGGUCAUGAUCUGAGCCUUUGUUCAUCUUCUAAGAAGGUGAUGACAAGCGGUAUUUGUUGUUUUCCUCAUUUUUUUCUCUUAGUGAUCUGUCUCAAACGACAGCGUUUUUUGUUAACUACUGCUGCAAUGAAUUUUUCCGAAACUCAAGUCUAAACUCAAGUCUUGAGCAUAAAAUACCAACAAGAUAUCUUAGCACCAGACCAACCACACCACAAGUAAUUUUUUUUUUUUAAAUUGUGAUAUUUCACGAUUUAAUGUUUGGGGGAAAUUAUUUCUUUGGGUUCUCAUCUCCUGGGCAAUAAUGGCGACUAUUUAUAUGCAAUGAAUUUGAUUGGUUUUAUUAAGAGACUGAUAGAUUGACAAACAUAUACAGGUAGGUCCGAUGUAAGGCGCCCGACGAUUUAAUCAGCUUUAUCAUCGUAUUCAUAUCAAAAGGGGCAGAAUCAAUGGAUCUAAUGAUUCAAAUAUUGAAAAUUUUGUCAACUUACCAUCCAGUUGUUUCUUCUGCUUCCUUUUCUGAAUCCAACACUUGAGUCCUAACUUAUUCGUAUUUGAAUAAAACCAAUAAAUUGACACAUAAUUGAAAUCUCAAACAUUAUUUGUGUUUGAAUAAAACCAACAAAUUGACACAUAAUUUACAAUUUUUUGUUUAAAUUGUGAUAUCUACAUCUUCAUCUUCGUAUAGGUGGAAGAACUAUUAUGAGGAAGAUUUGGAUAAAAUUCGAAAAAGGUUUUUAUUUUUAUUUUAUGCGUACCUUUGACAUUUUCUGCAACUGAAAAACCUGCUCUUAAAUAGUGGUAUAAGUUCUUGAUUUUGAGUGAUAACAUAUACGAGUAGUUAUAUACAAAAAGGAUAUUUUAUUAAGCAACAGAAAAUGUGGAAAAAGAAAAACACAAAUCAAUCCUAAUCAUUGAUAGCAAAUUUUCUGAGGCAUAAAAAUAUUACAAGUAAAAUAUAUAAUAUAGAUCUUGUGGCUUAUUUUGAAUUUUGCAUAUAAUUAUUCUAAUAUUAUUAAUUUGUGAAAUAUGUGUCUUUAAUAUUAAAGUAGAUUAUUGUUAUUGUUGUUGUUGUUGUGUGAUCGCAUAAGUGAUUGUAUAAGAAUAAUUAUUUUGCUUUUGAAUUUUGAAUUUGCUUUAUUUGCCUUAAAAUGAAAAAGGAAUAGACUCCGGUUAGUAAAAUUUUUCAAAUAGAAUUUUUACUUUUACAGCUUUUAUAAGUAGAAUUUUUUUAAAAAACAUUUGAGUCAUUUGGCUUUCAAUGCGUGAGAGCUUUUAUUAAAAUUUAUAAAAUUACUUUAAUAGAUAAUUUUUUUAAUUUAUGUUAUGUAAUAAAUGAAAUAAAAUUAUAAAAUAAAAUAAAAAAUUAAGGGUAUUUUAGAUAAUUUAACUAUUUAAAAAAGUUCUACAACAUGUACUCCAAAGAAGACAACAAUUCUCUUUUAGGAUUCUUUCUCUCCUAAUAUCUCCAAGUGAAAUGUGUGGUUAAGAUUGAGUCUUGAACUUUUAUGUUGACAAUCAAGCUGACUUGUUUCACUUUAUUUAUAAUUAAUAGGUUUUUUUCACUAAAUUUAGGAACUUUUUACUUCUCAAAUUGGAGUGAAAAUUCUGAGGAAUGAGUAUUUUGGGACUGAAAGUGUGGAGUGGGAAUGAAAGUACAAAAUGAAAAUAUGUUGUGUUAUUCACACUGGAAUGAGAGUAUGGAAUAGAAAUCAUAAUUCUAUUUAUGUGUUUACUUUGUCUUCAAUCAUGAGUGAAUUGUUUUGAAUUUUUUAAUUACAAAGUGAAUAAAAAAAUAUAUUGUUAAAAUAACCUUUAUUAGUUUUAAUAAAUAAAUAAAUAAUUAUUAUUAAUAUUCUUAAUGAUGUAAAUAAAAAAAUUAUUAAUUUUUAAGAAUGCAUGGAUUAAAUCGAUGAUUAGCUUAAACUACAACGAUUGAAAGAGCACUUAUCUUAUUUCAAAACCCAUAAAAAUAUUGUUGCUGUUAAAAAAAUAAAAAUAAAAACAAAGGUCCUGCUAAUUGACCGUCAACGUUGAUUAUAAUUUAUAGACACUGAAACACAUGCUAAUGUUUGAACUUUUUUUGUCGAUGUGCACAUAAAAGUCGGUCUGGCCGUGAUUACUGGGUUUUCACAUUGACUAAUGCGCGUUUGCUUUCACCUUAAGGAAAAUGCUAAAUAUCAAGAAUGUUGCACUCUUAACUCAAAAAUGUUGCACGUGCGGCGUGUCGGUUUUCUCCCGGACACGCACGUAAACGCAGACUGUUUUCUCCGGCCCAUUGACGGCGUGACUUUGUGACAAACACAAUUCACUCUCAUUUUUAUUGUCAUUUAGCAUAACGGAAAGGACGCAUCUACGCAGAAUAUGCUUCCCUUAAAUUUGUCAUUUAGCAUAAGGUCAUUGAUGUGGGUUCAUUGCCUUUUGAUAAUUAAUUUGUCUGUGUUUCAAUUUUCAGAUUAGCCAUCCAUUUACCCCUAUAGGUUAGAAAAAUAUCCCAAGACAUCUUUGUUAUGCAAUAUGUGACACUCUUAUUUUAUUUUUUAUUUUUUAUCUUUUAUCAUAAUAUCAUUAUGGUGCGUUUAACUUAAUGAAUUGUAUUGUAUUAUAGUAUAUUAAAUUGUAAUACAAUAUCAUAUUUGGUGUAACUUGAAUUAUGGUGGAUGCAAUAAUAUUUUAUAUCAUUAUUUAUAUUACUAUUAAUUUUAAAUUACUAUCAUUCAAAUUUAGUAAUAUGUAUGUAUUUAUUAUUAUUUAUAUUAAAUUAUUAAAUAAUAAUAAUAAAUUUUUAUACAUUAAGUACUAUUAUAUAAUUAAAUAAUCCAUUAUCCAGUUAUAUUUUAAUAUAAUAAAAAUAAAAAUAUAAUAUAAUAUUAUUACAUAAUAAAUUAUAAAUUUAUUAACAUAUAUAAAUAAUUGCAAUGUAAAGGUAAUUUUGUCAAUAGCAACUAUAAAGAAAAAAAAAAAAUUUAUUUUUGUCAAUAGCAACUAAAUAGUUGCUAUUGUCAAGGCAGAACUCCGUAAGCCGAGCUGGCCUUACGGAGGAUGCAUGCAGCGUAGUUCAUCAAAAACCUGCCUGUUGAACCAGAUACUAAGAUCUGGUUAGCUAUAUAUGCUCGACUGGGGCAUGUCGAAUCUAUCGUAACGUAGAGUAGAGUUGGGGGCUUAGGCAGCUGAGCCCAACAUUGUGGAUAUUAGAUAUUUACUUCUUUCAAACAUGUAUGCAGACGCAGGGAAAUGGGAUGAGGCUAGCUGGGUUAGGGCAUCGAUCAAAUCAGGAGGCAAAGAAGAAUCCUGGCUGCAGUUGGGUACAAAAAGUUAAUGAGAGAAUGAAGACCUUCACAUAUAUAUAUAAAAGAGCACCAAACUAGGAUAAUUGAUCAGCUCACAUAAGAUGGUAGGAAAAUUGUUGUGUGUGAAGCAAAUCCAGAAAAUCAAAACGACAGAAGACCUUGUGUUAAAUCAUCACACCAAUGUUCAAUCCAUCAACCCUCUUAAUCAUCACACCAGCCUUCUGUCACAAUAAGUUUACCUUUAACCAGCAACUAAAUAAAUCAAAAUUAAUAACAACAACAAUAAUAAUUCUUAAGAGUAUGAAAAUUUUAGAAGAACAUCAGUAUAUGAGGGAUAUGUAUGUAUGUAGGUAUAUUUAUGCCCCUUCUCGUUUUUCAAAAUUUCAAGGAUAGCAAGUUGACCCCCUUGUAUAUAGCUCAAGGUAUCAUCCAAAUGGACGAAGCAUCACAAUGCAAUCAGUUACACAAGAACACUGUGAAACGCAAUUCACAAUACAAAAUUUACAAAUCAAAAAUCAUACGGAUUAGAAAAAUGUAAAAUGGUACCUAGAACAAACCUUGGACGCAGAAGAAGCUAAAAGUGAGAGAGAAGGAAGCAAUAUACUUUUCUAUAUUCAAUCUCCUUCAAGUAUAUAUGAGAUAAAGAUAAUGGCGAUUACUUUGUGCAAGUAUUUUCAUCAAACGUCCUUAAAGGGUAAUUAUACUACAAUCCCCUUUUUUGUUGUAAAAUUUAAAUUAAGUUCAUAUAUUUCUAAAUAUUGACUCAAUGGUCCUGCUUAUUUUAAUUUUUUUUAACUUACCUUAAUUGAAGCACCCAUCGUCAAAAUUUUUAAAAAGAAGAUUUACUAUAUAACCUACCUACAUAUUUAAUAUAUCCUUAUUAAAACUAAUUUUUAUUUUUACUAAAUAAAUUAAUUAAAAUAACAUAUAAAAAUUGAGUAAAUUGAUAUAACAUGCCCACUAGUUUCAAUUCUAUAUCUCUAAUAAUUAGCAAUUGAAUUUUAUCACUAACCUAAAGUUAUGGAACAUGAGAUGUGGCAAAAAAAAAAAAAAAUUCCCAAAUGAGUGUAAAGAGCAAAAUGGCUUUGUCUUCCAAUCCUUCUUAAAAAACUUCUAGACUUAAUCACCAAACUUCUAGUUGUAAAAAUAAAUGAAGGGCAAGUCUUUUUUUUACCCCCCUUUUGUGCCUCACGUUUUGAUGCCUUAUUAAAAAACUAUCAUAUUAUUAUUACUAUUAAAAAUUUUAUCACAUAUUCAAACUAUUGACUGUCUAUUAAAUAAUUAUUACGAAAAAAAAUAUAAAUUAAGAACAUGAAAUUAAUUUCAUAUUGACUUUUAUCAUAAAAUAUGGUUUGUUUUACUAUAUAUUAAAUUAGACAAUUAGUAAGAAAGUGUAUUAAUUUAAAUAAUUUAAGCUAAGUGUAAGAAUAAGUCAUUUUAACUGUCAAAUUACCUAGGUAUGCAAUAGACCUAACUGUAAAAAGUUUAAAAUAUUAUGAACUUAUGUGUUAAAUUUUUUAAUAUUUUUUUUCUUUUUAAAUUUUGUAGCAAAAAUCAGGCACUAUAGUUUCAAUAACUCAAGAAAAACAUCCUAGUUUUUAAACUAUUUUUAGGUUAGAUCUGAAUGGUGGGUUAAGAAAAGACAAAAAAAAGGGGUAACGUUGCUGGACCCCUUCCGUUUUAUUUCUUUCUAUAAUUGAAAUCCCACAAAUGUAGGCAGCGAGGCAAAAUCCUUUUCAUUUUACGAUCCUUAUCCAUCUCGUAAUUAGUUUCAUGUCUCAAGCUGUCAAGCAUUAAAGUUAAAAUCAAUCGGUUUGGUUUAGAAACAUACUUAUUGCUUUUCGUUUUUUAAUUGUGCAACAUUUAUAACUUCAGUUUUUUCUUCCUCAAGAAGGCUGAUAGUUUAUAUUCCAAUUGAAUUAGAGAUGUAGUUUGUUUAUUUUACUUAUAAAUAUCAUAAUAAGUGAGGUAACAUCCAUUAUACUCAUAUCAGCACUAAUCCUCGAAUUGAUGGCCUGCAAAUAUGUACGUACGUGUUCAAACAAAUGAAAGAUACAUGUAAUUUGUUUAUUGUACUUAUAAAAAAUCCAUACAAGUGAGAAAAGAGAAAGAUAGAAUCCAUUAUAGAUCUUGAGAUUAAUUAUCUAGGAAUAACAAAUACUCAUCUCACCAUAAAACUCCACCAGAACAUCACUCAAGCCAAAUUCUUUUCCAAAUAUGUUUGGCCUAGGUGGGUUCAGAAGUGUUUUAAUAUCAUUACUAUUCGUUUAUUUAAGUUUUUUUGGGAUAAAAUCUAUAUAUAGACACAUAUAAAUUGUUGCAUCAUUCAUGCAUAUUUCGUCUGACGAAUUGUUAAUGCAUCAGCAUCAGAGAAUCAGUUCUUUCAGCCGUCUUGAACUCUGUCUGUUUCAACACCAAUUCUUGAAUUGACGGCCUGCAAAAAAGACACGCGUGCCUAACUUUGUUAAUUUUCGAAAGCCAACACCACCGGCCAAGAAAAGGCAAUCCAUGGCAUGCAAUUAUCGACAUAUAUGCAUGGACCAUUUGUGCGUAUGUGUUUAAUAUACAUUCUACGAUCCUUAUCAAUCAAUAUACAUAUGGACUAUCAAUCUUGUAAUUAAUUUCAUUUCUCAAGCAUUGAAUAGAGGUUUUGGUCAAUCUGUUUGAUUUACACUUUAAAAUUUAAAGGAAAAAAAUAACAAAAGCAGAGAAGAAGAAUUUCAAAUGUUAAAACUGAUGGAUUCUCACCGUAGGGUUGGCAAUUUGUUGGUUUGAAUCGGACUUUUUUAAGUUCAGUCCCAAGCCCACAUUAUUGAAACGAAGCCCAAGGCCUUCAAAAGCCCGUCCAAAUUUGGACAAGCUAGGCCUGAGCAUUUUCAUUAAUGAUAAAAUGAUUUUUUUAUAAAAUAAAAAAUAUUUAAAUUAAAGAUAAUUAUCCAAUGCAUAAUAGUUUAAUACAUAAAAUAUUAAUAAAAAAAAUAUAAUAAGUCACAAAUAUUAAUAUAAAAAAAUAUUACUUUAGUAUUUUAAGUUUUUUUAUUUAAAUUUAAUUUAUUUUUAUUUAUAAAUUAAAAUACUAGGUUUUUAUUUAAACCCAAUCUAUGCGGAUUUUACAUUUUUUUGGGCCCAUAUCCAAGCCUGCGAGCUUGGGCUGGCUCGCACUUUUUAGCCAAAUCUACUUCAUUGGCAUCUUGUUGAAGUUAUUUGAAUAAAGUUAUUUACUCAAAAAUUAGGGAUUAAAACCUUUUUAGCUUUUCAGUCAACUGAGUACUGACUUGGGCCGGGCUUGGACAGGGAUGGAGCUAAAAUAAAUUAAAAAAAAAAAAAAGCAAAAACUCUAAUGUGAGCUAAAAGAUUAAAAAUAUAUAUAUUAAGUCUUUAUUUUUAUUUUUUUAAAGUCUUUCAGUGCACUAAAAAGAUACUAACAUCCUCAUAGGAUAACAUAAUUAAGAUUCAAAGCGAAGUUUUAAAUUAUUAUGCUCCCUAUUCACUCUUCAGCAAAGUAAUUGAAAACAAAUUAAUUUUUAUUAAUCAUAUAUAUUCAAGUGUAGAGAAAUUUUAUGCAAGAAAAUUAAAUGCGGGAGAGCCGAUCGAUAUCGAUGGUUUUAGCAGAAAAGAAAUUGAUUUCAUGUUCUUCUUCAAUUUAAUUACUCUAAAAAUAAUAAUAAUAAUAAAGCUAAAACAAGUUAGACAGAAACAUGAAGAUACACACACACACACGUACACACACACCUUAGACAGAAUAGAGAAGAUGACCCGAUCACCCGAAUUUAAUUGUGUGACGUUUAUAACUUCAGCUGCUCCUUCCUUGAGAACGCUGAUAAUUUCAUGAAACAUAAAGUUUCUAUUCGACCCACAAAUCAAAUUCACCUCCAAAGUAGAACCCGAAGUUGUUAUGUUCAUUACUGUUGGCUCAGUGUGAUCCUCUUCCUUCAAUAGUGCUCUCCUCCUCUCAAGACUUUCUUUAUUCUUCUGCAAAUGCGUUAUAUAACUGGUGGCUUCAUCCAAUAUCUCUGGCAUAGACAACUGCAUCAAUAAGUUUCAAGUUAGACACACAAACCUUAUAUAUAUAUAUAGUUGCUAGUUUGAGGGUUGAACAGAAACUUAACGGUUUUUUGUUAGAUCCACAACAUCGAUGUAAAUCCUAAACCCUAAAACUUAUAUAUAUAUAUAUAUAUAUAUAUAGUUGCUAGAAUUUAUUAAAACUAGUAUUAUGCUAGUUAGUUUUUAGUAUUGCUUUCUUUUAUAAAUACAAAGAAAUGAAAAAAAAAUCUGACCAAAAUUAAUAUACCUUGGAGUUGGAGGGAAUGAGAGAAGCGAGCUGGGAAAUGAGAUCUUUCAUGUGCAUUCUUCGAUGUUGCUCCUUUAUAUUUCGCUGAGCCCUAGACGAUGAACCAGCUGCAGAGCUAUUUUCUUCCGCCAUAAUUUUCGUAUUCAAAUCGUACAAGCAAUGCCCUAAAACGCAAGAAUCAAAUAAUACAAUCAUCAUAAAGGGAUUUAAAAAACAAAAAGCAAAAGGAAUUUAUUGAUACCUUAAAAGGAUGAAGUUAUGCUAGCUAGCCAUCAAUACAUGAAAGAAUUAUAUGUUUUGUGGAAUAUAAAAGCAGUGUGUGUUUAGAUAUUUGUACGGGAGCGGGGUGUAGAGGGACAGAUGCUUUUUUUUUUUCUGUUCUUAUUAGCGCCACCAGGAAACAUGCAUUCAAGAAAACCUAGCAGAUGUGACCCUUGAUUAGUUCGUUUAUGACGGUGAUAAGCUUUUGUUUACUAACGGUGAAUUAUCCAACUAGCUAGAUUUAAAUUCAGCGUUCGAUAUAAUUUUGUGCUUUUGUUUUUUUCCAAUAAGAUGUGAUUGGUGAUUAUAAUCAUCGGAUAAUGAUCAAUAUGUUAAUGAAUCGUAAUUGUUUGUAAGAUUUCUCAUAAAGUUGGAAACAAAGCUAUAUGAUAUAUAAGAGAGAGUUAUGGGUAAUUUUUUAGAAAAUAUUUGAAGGAUAAUUAGUUAGUAAUGUUUGAGUCACAAUUUGAGGAUUUGGCAUAAUCCUAUUAGUCAAAUGAAAAUAACACAAGAUCUACAAUUUUUUUUUUUUAAUAAUAUAGUUAUUUUGGACAGGGUUUAUUUCAUUUAAGAAGGUUUGCAUAUAGCACUUAUUAAAUAAGAAAUCCUCUUUAAUAAUAAACACAAAUGUAAUACUAACAGGAAAAAAAAAUUAAAUAACAUAUAAAUACAAAUAAAUAUUAAAAUAAAUAUUAAUAAAAUAAAAAAAUAUAUGACGUGCAAUUUUUUUUUAAUGUUGAACUAUUAUCGAUAUUAACACUUAAUCCAUCAAUUCAAAAAUUUAAUUUGAAAUAUAUGCGAAUAAAGACAUAAUAUAUUAUGACAUUAAUUACGAAUAGAACAUAUAACAUAGAUUUUGUGAGUUAUUUUAAAUUUUAGAUACAAUUAUUUUAAAAUCAUUAAUCUGUGAAAUAGAUAAAUCUAAUAUCAAAAUAGAUUUUAUUUUAUUAUUGUUGUUGUGUGAUAUAUCGUAUAAGUGAGAGUAAAAAAUGCAUGCAUUUGAUUGUAUAACAAAAAUUAUUUUGCUUUUGAAUUUUGAUACUCGUGCUAUUUGUUUCUUUGACUCAAAUUGGCAAAAGAAUAAAUUAAUAAGGUCAAACUAAACACUUGUAUUAUUUUCAAAUUUUAUCAAUUUACGUAAUACCCAAGUAAAAUGGAGUCAAACGAAUUAAUUAUUUUUUUUGUUUUUUUGGGUAAAAUGAAAAGGACCACUCAUUGCCAAAUUAAUUAAUUAAAAAAAAUUGCAAGGUUAUGCUUUUGUACCAAUUUUAUGAGAGGAUAAGAAUAAUAAGAGAAAUGCCUUAAUUGAUUUUGAUUUGUUUUUGCCGAUUUUCAAGUGUCGUAAUUGCGGCGGGUCAACUGAUACCAUUAUACCAGUAUUAAAGUAGUAAAUAUCUUCAGUUGCAUUUGGCAAACACGUCCUUCAUGUUCCUGUAUACCAUAAUAAAGUAUGAAACAUGAUAAGGAGACAAAUUUUGCUCACCGAAAUGGUAGACCGGGUAGCAAAACCAUCGUAGUCUCAAUUUCGUUUACACGUGAAAUAUGCACUUAUCUCCAAUUUCGGUCCCAAUAUCGCUGCCUAUUAUAUUUAGUAAUAUCGGUUGUUUCUUUUUGGACCUACAUUAUAUAUAGCUUGUUAGGAAAAAAAAUUUAUUGCGCGUUUUUAUAGUUAUGUCUAGAUAAUUUUUUUAACAUUUAUUCUUAUUUUAUAUAUUUUAAAGAAAGCUCAGGUUAAAUAUGGGCUAUCAAAUUUAUAAGCAAAGAUAUUGAAAAUUAUUAGUUUUAUUUAAACAUAUUAUAUUAUAGAUAACAAAAAUAAAUACCUAAAUUAUUAGAUAUAAGAGUACAUGUUCUUGGAUAAUUUGGUUGUUUAUGUUACAAUGUUUAAAAUAAUUAAAUGAAAAUUAUCUUAAGUAACCUUAAUGGUCAAAGAUAGUCCAAGUCAAAAAAAAAAAUUAUAAGGAAGAUUUUUAAUUAAAAUUAACUGUCCAUCAAAUUUUUGUUGACUUGUAUUUUUUUAAGAUGAAAAAUAGAACCGGUUAUAGUUAUUUCCUAGAAGUGAGGUGAGUUUAGAAAAGUAGUGGGAUGAAAAAUAGAACACGUUUGCUUAUUUGUCUGAAAAUAUAAAUUUUUUUAUAAAAUAAAUUUUCUUCAAUUUAUUUAUUUACUUUUUUUUGUUAUUAUAAUUUUAAUCAAAGUGAGAUCAAAUUCCAUAUAGCAAUAAUAAUUUUCAGAAAGCCCUCUCAUAAUUUAUUAAGUUUAAUAAAUUAAAAUAAAAUGAAAAAUAAAAAUAAUAAAUGUAGAAUUAAUUAGCAUAUACCAAAAUAAAAAUUUGUACUGCAAUUAUAUUCAUUAUAGACAUUUAAGUAGUUUAUUUGUGCUAAUUAUAUUUUACAACCUAAAAUAUAAAGAACAAAAGAGUACAAUAAACAAAAUUAUAAAAUUCCAACAACAAAAAAGGCACUGGAUCAUGUUAUAUUUUACAGUGAAUAAGAAAAAGAUGAGGUGUAGAUUAGAAGUAAAAUUGAAGGUAUAAGGUGGAAGUAAUAAUUAAAGAAUUAAUAAAGUGAUAAUUGAAACAAUAAUAGUGGUGGGCCACCACAAAAAUUUUGCCUUGUACUUUCUUAAUCAUUCUCCAAAUAGUCAAGAACGCCAAAUUUGACAUUCUUGAUUUUUCUUUGCAAAAGUUUAAAAACAAAAAUAUUUUGUUCUUCAAUUUUAUUUGGAAAAUGACUUAACCAAACGUGUUUUGUGUUUUUCAUUUUCGGUCAUUUUCGAAAAGCAAAAAACUCCCAACCGAAAAUGUUACCGAACGCACCGUAGAUAUCCAUCCUUGUUCUAAUGAUCUAAUGCCAGUCAAGCAUGCCACCAUUAGCCUUAUUAUCCAGUGAUAACCCCAUGUAACUAAGGGUGUGGAUUCAAGUUAGGGUUGGCAAUAAAAUUCGGAUCCGCAAAGAUUCGAAAGAUCUGGAUCCGGAUCUUAAAAGUCAAGAUCCGUGUCCGGAUCCGAAUAACCGGAUAACCGAAUAUCCGGAUCCGCAUUAUUUUAUAAUUAAAUUUCAAUUGAAAAAUAUAUAAAUUAAAUUAUUUAUUUAAAUGUAUAAGAAUAAUUAACUCUAUAAUCUUCAUUAACUAUGAAAAUAUGUUUAAAAAAACUAAUAAUAAUAAUUAGAGAAUAUUGUAAUAAAUCGGUUUAACUUAGAUUUUUUUUAUGUUUGAUUUAUAUUGAGAAAUUAUUGUUUGUGAAUUUUUGGUGUUGUAUUUUUUUAAUAUAUUAAAUUGUUGAUUGUUAAAUUAUAAUUGAAUUUUAUUUAAUAUUAACAUGUAAAUUAUUAAAUUUAAAAUUAUUAUUAUGCGGAUCCAGAUAUCUGAAAUAUCCGCCCCCAAACCGUGCGGAUAUUAUCCGCAUCUAGAUCCGCAUAAUUUUUUACGGAUCUAAAUACGGAUCCAAAUCCCAAAAAUUCAUUCCGGAUCUGAGUUCAGAUGCACCUACAUCUAGAUUCGGAUCCGGUUUUUACCAUCUCUAAUUCAAGUCCUCAGGGGUUAGUUUAAUUUAGAUACAAUAAUAUUAAGAAUUCUAAUUAAUAUUUGAGUUGAUGUAACACUCAUUUAUUGAACGGAGUAGAUUUUGCGAACUAACGCUCGGUGCGCCUAAUCUUGGUACACACAGCCCAAUAUGACCUAAUGCUUGCAUGGCAACAGAGGAUAAUGUUGCAGUCUCAGAGUUAACCACAUCAACAAGGCAUUUAAGUGUACUCUGAAAUAAUGCUUCCGGGAUCUGUGAAUCCAUGUCAUGGUUAAAAAAUAGUAUAAAAUGCACAUUUAGAGUAUCAAAUACAAAAAAUUACUUUUACUAACAAAAUUAACUAAGGCCUAAAAAAAAUAGCUGGUACUCAUCACAUAUAACAGAACACAAUUUAAUAUGGGCUCUUAUUUCACUACUACAAAGAUGACGGGAAAAUCUGAAGUCAUUUGCCAUCUGAUUUAACAUUUACCCAAAUUUUAUCAAGGAAAAUAAGAAAACCUAAUUUUCGGCAAGAAAGUAGUGAACUAAAAAGUUUUAGGAACAAAGAAAGUUUCAUCAGGUCAUGGUAUCAAAGAGUUUAUAAUAUCCAUCUUCAACAUCAGUGUCUCCACCAUGAUUUCAACCAAAAUGAUUUGUUGAGAAUCUCAAGUACCCACAGACAAAAAAACUUUCAUAGCCGUUGACAGUGACAUUGACAACUUUCCUACAUUCACUUUGAACUUUGCUCAGAAGAUGAAAUACUUCAUAUAUUAUGACUACAUUUCAUGUCAAUAUAGUUCUCAAAUUAAAUCAUGUUUCAAAACUAUCUCAUACAAACUGCAAUCAAAGAUGCUUUCACAGUUUACAGUAUUUGGUUGAAGAGAAUUACAAAACAGAUUGCAGUUUAGCAGUUCUAAACAUGCAAAGCAUUAUGGUGACAAGCACCAAACUAAAUUUUUGGAAACUCUUUAACACAUAUUUGUAGGACAAGUCCAAUGAAUGCAUGCCAGUAACAGAAAAGUAGUGUAAAUUUAAAAAUUAAGCAUCAGGUAUAUCAAUGAAUUAUAGAAAAAUGCAGAUGACAGAACAAAAAUACAUUAAAUUCUCAGAAGUGGGUAUUACAGGUUCAGCCGGUCAAAAUUUACAGCAAUUUUAAGUAGUUCAUAAGAUGGAAAUAUCUGACAAGUUAAAGAAUUUUAAUCCCAGCAUAAGAAAGGAUGAAACUAUCAGGUUACAAUGAUGAUAUAAUGCAAAUGAUGCUAAAAACAACAUAAUACAACAUAUAUUUUAUGAAGUGGUGAUACGGCAUAGUCAAAAGUUGACUGACCAAUAUGCCUAGAAAAAAGGAACAAAUAAAUGACAGUGAGUACGAAAUUAUACAACUUACAGCAGGCGAUCUACACAUAGAAUUAGCAGUGACAUAUCCUAUGGCACAUAGAACUCCAUGCUGAGCCUCAAACCUGAAUAUUUAUAUCACAUUGAGCCUCAAAUAAGAAAGUUUCAACUUAAAAUACAUCUUAGAAAACGAAUUGAUUUGAAACUCAAUAUUGCAUAUUUUGAGUUUAUUCUAAAAAGAGGCAACAAACCUUAACUUUUGCAUUUCAGUAGUUUUGGAAACAAGUUCGCUUAUAAGAGCAGUAGAUGUAGCUGAGGGAAGAGCAGUGGAAGCUAUGCCAAGUAAGCGUGCCACAGCUUCACGUGUAUCCCAGUCCAUAUGACUCAGUAAUUGCUUUAACCAGAUAACUCUUUGGGAAUAGUGUGAUGCAAUCAUCUACAAUGAACAAAAAUCUGUCACAUAAAAACAAUCCAGCAAGAAAAGGGGAGUGAAGAAAGUAACCAAGCAUGCAAGGUCUGCAGAAACCAACCUCUGGAAGAUGAGAUGCAAUUGUAAUCAAUGUUUUGGAAGCAGUGGCAUGCAACUCAACAGACCCUUCAGUUGCCAUAGCAUGCUCUAGCAGUAGACACAGUGUUUCCACCGAAGACACGAACUCCAGUGAUUUUUCUAAAUCUUUAUUUUGCUCCAACUCCAAUUCAAAGCACUUUAAUAGAAAUUUGAUCAUUGCCACGUACAUAUUCGAUGGAAAAAGAAGCUUCUGUUCCCUCAUUUCAGUUGAAUCUACAAACUUAGGCUGCUGCUUAAGAAUAUAUUCUAACAUGCUACCAAGUUUUGGGUAUAUAAUAUCAGGAUUUUGACUAAUUAACCGCCCUUCAUCUUUGACAGGAAACAGGCCUUCGAGUGCCAUUUCCCUAGAGAAGAAAAAAGAUGGUGCAGAUUAGCUUCGAAUAAUGAUUAAGAGGCGAAAAGAAAGGGGAGAGAGAGAAGCCUGAAGAAAGAAGCAAGUUCUGAAGUUUCAUUUAAAUAGAGUGGUUUAUAAGAUUGAGUGAUGUGAACAAUAAAAAGGAAGCUUUGGUUAUUCAGAUCAAUAGAUUACACAUUCCUGCCCUAAAACAUCAUUGGGUGAUUAGAUAAUUUGACUUAUAACUUCUAUUGCAUGAACUUGUCACUUGAAUGGUGCAUCAGUUCCUCUUUAGAUUGGAACUGGAAUUUCAACUUUUUGAGGAAUUUGAACAAGAGAGAAAUUCAAGAAGUUUCAGCUCUUUUGGCUUUAUUGGAGAAUGUUUCAAUUAAUGCUCUGCUAGAGGAUAAAAGGAUCUGGGAGCCAAGCCCUUCAAGGAUUUUUUCCUUGCAAAUCCUUUUUCAAUCAGUUGAUUGAUGAUCAAGCUCUCUUGAACUUUCAUCCUGCUCAUAGGAUUUGGAAUAAUAAGUCCCUAAUAAAGUUCAAUUUUUUGCUAGGUCAUUGGCUAUAGGCAAACUUAAUACUGGUGAUGUUUUUCAGAGAUGGAAUCCUAAUGUGUGCUUGUCUCCUUUUUGGUGUGUCAUGUGCAAGAGAAAUGGUGGAAUUCUAGCUCUUCCGGAGUAGUAUCGCACUGAUGGCUCCAGCCCCUCGGAAGGAGGCCUUUGCAUUCUACCUAAGCUGCGCAGCCAUUUUUAUGAUAAGAGAUUAUGAUCCAACUACUCGAUACAACGAUAUCUUAGAUCAUGUCCUUCAGCAUCACGAUAGCCACAAUCAGUAUUCUUUUUGUGUCAUGCAGAAGUAUCCUUUUAGAUAAUUGACAUAAUCUACAUUACUAACCCGUUGUGUAUAUUUUGGUUCGAAACUGCAGUUCUUUUUUUUUUCGCAUUGUCACCAAGCUGUUCAGUUGCGGCAUAGAUUACUUCAGGCAGCUAGUAUUUGUUGGGUGAUCCCAGCUUCUAGCAAUUCUCUGCUUUCAGAGUCUAUUCAUGCUCUGGGGAAAGGUGAAAAAGCUAGAAUGUUGAGGAAAUGUUCAGUCCUGGCCAUUUUUUGGGUGAUUGGGUUUGAAAGAAAUAGAAGGUUCGUUAAAGAUGCUGAGGAAGACAUCAUCUUUGGAAAGAGUGUGAUUACUAGCUUCUCUUAGGGCCUCAGUUACUAAGGAAUUCAAGAUUCUUCUUUCUUAUUCAUUCAUCUAAUCUUGGAAAAGGUGUUGGCUUAAUUCUGGGUUUUUGAGUUCAUUUUUGUUGUAAGAUCUUAUAGUCAUAUAGAUCCUGUACUUAUAAAAUCUUAUCAGUAUCCUAUUGUUGUAUAGAUCUUUUUGUGAUCUUAACGGGGGUCCUUUUUUGUGGACACCUUGUUCGCUUUUGUACAUGUUUUAUCUUUUAAUACAAGUUUUUUGUUUCCUCUAUAUAUAUUUUCAGCAAUAUGAUUACAAGAACAGAAUUAGUGCUCAAAGCAGUCUGAAGAUUAAUCCGCAAAAAGAGCAGUUAAAUAAAAAAGGCUAUAAAAAUUAUUUGUUGUGUGACAAAAACAACAUAGCAAAAGUUUUAAGAUAUAAUAUGAUCACCAUCACCACAUUCCAAAUGCAAGACAAUAACAAAUUUAAGACAAUGAAGAUAGCCAAUAUCCCUUAUUCUAACCAAUCAAGUGUAAUACCCGAUAUCCAACUUAGGAUCUGCUGCUCCAAGCAUACAAAUAAACCGACUAGGGCAAUGUUGCAAAUCAAAUAAUGAUGUUGCCCAUCUAACAGCACAGAAGCGUACUUCACUUUGUUCCUGGUCAGCAGCAUAAUAUUUAUUUGCAUCAUGUGGUAUUGAGAAACAAUAAUCAAGUUAGGAAAUCCUGUACAUAUUUUUAAGCUACAACAGUUAAACAAAGUUUAUGAAGAGUCAUAGUGCAAUACCGCAUUAAAAUUGUCAGCAGAAGCUUCUCCAACUCUAUCAAUACAGCUGGUUGUGCUCCCGGAUGCUCAAAUGUUGAAUCAGUGUCAAGAGCAUCACCAAACAAGGGACAAAGAGCGAAAACAGAUUAAGUAAUUGAUCAUAUUGCAGAACAUUACUCGUCAAACAGGACCUGAGAUGUCAUAUAUCCAAGGAGGGCCUUUCUAGAUGGUAGGUGACUUAUCCUAAGCUGCUGAUUGAUGGUAGCAAUGUCUAGUGCAAAAAUAGGAGCUCCAGAAACUACAAUUUUACAUAAAUAAUAUUUUUUUCCAAUAGUAGGGAACCGUGAUAAUUCAUAUAAAUUUGAAAAAAAAAAGGUUAAAUUGAGGUAACCAGCAGUCCAUUUUGCAUGACUAUGACUACCUAGCUAGGUGUGAUGACAUUGAGUGGAAAAGCAUUCUUUUUAUUUAUCUAAGGUCUCCAGGCAUAUUUAGACUCUCACCUAGAUUCAUUUUUUUUUUUGAAACUGUUUCGAUUUCUGACGUAACAAAAAAAACAUGAAGAAUAAGUUUACCUUUCCAUGCCAGUUUGGAAAGUGACAAGUCUCUAUGCAUGGCAAUCAUAUUUUUUCAUAAAUUUAUUCUUUGGUAUGUACCUGAGAUGGUGUUUGGGACAAGCUUUGAAUGUUAGAAGAUUCCUUUCUGAUAAACUAAAAGGGUUGGAUAAACUAAGAGCAAAUAGGAUUUCAAAACUUCUUAUUAGGGAGAAGACUAAUGGUCUUGCCCUCCAUAAUGCACCAUUUACAUGAUCUAAUGAGAGCUACUACUCUGCAUUGCAAGCUACACAAAAGUUUAAUUUCUGCCUAGGUAGAAGUGUUAAAGUUUUUAAACCAUUUCUUAUAGGGAUACAUCUCCAUUACUAAGAUAACAAUAUUAGUUGGCCCAUAAAUUUAACCUAAUUAUUUGACAUAGUAAUCAACCAUCAAUUCUAGACUUCUUAUGUGCGAUCAAGGCUUCCUUUAUGCACCAAAUCCCUCUCCCACAUGUUAUUUUAUACAGUGAAUUACAGUUUUGUAUAAUUGAUUGCUUCUCUUUCUUCCUUUUUCCUCUCUCUUCCUCUUUCUGGAAUUAAUGAAGAUUACAUGGUAUCAUAGCAGUAUUUUCCAGGACUUGCAUAAUCAAUAUCAAGAGAUCAGCAAUGCCGACCUACCCUUACACAAAAUUAAACUAUUGAACAGUUGCAGAAUAUUAUCUCUACAAAUCAACAACAUCCCUUUUUACUCUCUUCUUACACAGGUUGGUCUAUAUUAACUCCAAUCAGGUAUAUCUUGUUCUGUUUUGAGUUUUGAUGAAAAUAUAAAUAGAUGAAACCAGCAAGGCGUUGUAUCAAGGAGUAAAUUCAAAUUGACCCAAGCCAAAUUCUGAAUUUAUGAUUAAAUUUCUGAGACAAAAUAAAAGCUGAAAAAGAAAUCUACAGGAUGAGAAAAAUGCAUUACCUUGUAUGCAGUAGCAAGUGAAGUAGUUGCCUCUUGUAUAACAAGACGAAGAGAUGAAGCCUCCAGUUUCAGUGCAUCAAAAAGGCGAACCGCCAUUUCAAUCUUGUCUCUAAAGAUGGGAGAAAAUACCCGUUACAUUAUUCAGUUCCAUAAAAGGGUAUAGAACCAGCAAAAGAAGUAGAGACAAUAGAACACCUGAAAAGCUGAGGCAGGCGCUGUGCAAGCAAUCCAAUUGCCUGAAAAGCAAAACUUUUUGUAUCCCUAGCAACAGAAUCUGCAUAGUUUGAUCAUUUAGGUCCAGAAAAAAUCGAUCUUUACAGAGAUGAACACAGGAAGCUCAAAGAAAUUCAACUGCACUGCCAACCUGAGUCGGAAUAUGAAUAACCAUCAAGCAAUUUCAGAAUCCCAUUCAGUAUUACAGGAACCAUAAGCUUCAGCUAAUCAAGAUUAGCCUGAAUAUAAUAAACUAUCAAAAAUAUAGAAUACUUUCUGUGGAAAUGACCAAUCUAAACUUCUUCAGAGAAUAAAAUGUUGACAUACAUACAGAUGAAAAAAAUAAUUGGAAAUUAAAAAUCACAAUUAGUAAGAAAACCAAUUACAAUUUAUGCAAGAAAAGGAAAAAAAAUAAUAUUAACAAAAGUAUAAGUAACACUGCUGCCCAGCAUCCACAAUCGCUCCAAGAAACAAAGCAAGCUCCUGCAGGUCUAAUUAGGCAAGGCAAUUUCUUCAAAACUCUAACUAAAAGGUUGCUUUUUCUGAUCCCCCCCCAAAACAAAAAGGAACUGCAAACAACUGUUUAGUUAUGACUUUAACCAAAAGCUUAAGCUUGAAAGUGCCCAGAUAUUAGAAUUUAACCUUUUGUACACCCCCAUAUGUGCAAAGUUGGGCUGGACUCAUUCAACAUGUUUAUCACUGAAUAUAAGUACCAAACACACAAGCAGCCCACUUCAUUUGGUUUGAAUACAUGAAGUCCUUACGUGUUUGAAAACCCAGACUGUGAAUUCCAUUCCCAGCUGCUUCAACCUUAUCGUGGUAUCAGUUCCUAUUAAAUUCAAGAGAAAAAAUUAGCAAAGGCACCCACAUGACUAACUCAGCAUAAUUGCUCCUGAGAAAAUAAGUAUAAAAUGUAUUAAUGAAAAACACAUACAUACUUCAUGCUUCAAGACUAAGACAAUGACAGAUGUGUUGACAGCUAUCCAAUGCCUUACAAUUUUUUUUUUUAAAAAAAAAAUUUCUUCCUCUUCCUCUUAUCUUUUCUUUAACUUUUUGGUGCCGUCUUCUAUACUUCAAAUGUAUAUGAGUAACACCACUUGAACACUUUUUAUAAACUUGAUAUUUUAGUUUUAAGUGAACUUAUCACUAAUCACAUUUGAAGACAAUUAAAAGGAUAAAUGACUGCAUUUGUAAGAGAAAAAGCAUAUUUACUUUUGACCACAAAAUAAACUAACAGUAUCUUAUCCGGGACCUAAUUCAAACUCCAGUAGAACACUAUGCUAAUGGGAAUCGAUUUGCUGAUACUUGAGAUGAGCCAACUUCUGAGUGGAGUUAUAUGAAAUUUGCUACUGAAAGAACAUGUAUCAGAAUAAAUACCAUACAUACAGCCAAAUAUGCACUGCAAUGUGGCUGGGAAACUGUUUGCGGCUGUAAUAGAUCUGCAGAAAAUAGACAUCAAUUUUGUCUUCAGAGAAGCAUUUCCAGGAUUGACUCUGGAUUCUUGAGGAAUAUUUUCAGCUGCCAAAGUUCCUGAAUAAAGGGUUAACAAUAUAUGACUGUUAAGGACAUGUCCAACCAAUACGGACCUGUCAGUAUAAAAGUAUCUACCGAGCAAUCGAUUCUAUGAAACCAAAUGACAGAGAACAGAAAAAAAAAAUGAUAGGGAUUGCUGUAUUAGAGGAUUUAAGGAAAGAGUGCCUAGUUUAAUCAAGUAUGCAAACUGAAUAAGGGUGACAACCAAUAAACAGAGUCCCAUCUCCUUUCAAUUAGUGAUUGCCAGAGGCUUAGCCCUUGAAAAAUGUCAAGAAAAGGUGUCUAAUAUGUCUAUAAAAAGACAAAAGAACAAAAAUACUAGAGGAUUUUAGUAAUACAUUAUAUCAUCAUGAAAGGGAAAAAAAAAAUCCAGCACAACUAAAAUUAGCAUUUAACUCUAGGGAUAAAAUUUAACAUAAUAUUAUGGAUAUUUCAAAACGACCGGCUAUUUCAUUUUUCAUAAAGAAACAAUCUGCACACGUAUCUGGGCACCCCAACAAAACAAAAAAUAAUUGAAAUAUAAUAAGCAACAGAUCACAUAGACCUUAGCAUUCCCAAAAUCACAUGUACAGACAUCUCAAACUAUUUGAAAUAAUAAGAUGAAGGAUCGGAUAUCCACUUCUCUCUUCUUCUGUUCAUAGCUUAUAAUAGCUUCCCCUAUAAUCAACUCUCGGAAAAACUAAUUCUUUGUCAAAAAUGCAUAAAGUACAAUAUUCACAAAUCAACAGUUUUAUAUAGGGAAAAAACGUGUAUUUGUUUCAACACUCCAACAGGAGAAAAUGGUAAAAUAAUUCUGCAUUACAUACCAUUAAAAAGUAAAAAUAAUCUGUUCACCAGGUUUGGGUCUUCUAAAUUAGCACCAAAAGCCUUCUUCUUCAGAAGCUCUUCCCCCCUCUUCACAACAGGAUCUUGGCUUGAUUGAACAAAAUCAUCAAACAACAAAUCAUAGUUUCAUUAUUUUUGUCUUUUUGAGGAAAAACUAAUCAUUCUUUAACUUCUUGAAUACGAGAAAGAACAUUAAAUGAGAAAAAUAGUGAGUAAUGUUUAUGUAAGUAAUAAAAAGAAAAAAAAAAUGUACCGAUCUACACAAGCAGACAAAUAUAUGGGAUAAACAAGUUCAGGAGUCAGCUCCAUAGCUUCAAUCACAUUCAAGAUUCCCAACUGCUUACGAGGAAAUAGAAUAUCUAUCAGAUUAUGAACGAAUUAUGGUUAUCUAAGUAAAACACUCUUGAAUCCAACUAGCUUCACCUUCAUUGUUAAGAUGUUUCAAUGGGUUUUUCCCAAUCACACGAUUAGCUUGAACAACUGAAAGCCCAGGUGGGCUUCCUCCGCUGCUAAAAGUAAGCACGAAAUCUCAGUACAUUUGGAACACAAACUAUCUUUAAGGAUAAUAAUUUUCUAACAAUAAAGGGAGCUGCAGACCCUUGAGGUGGCAUUUGAUACAACAUAGUAUGACGGCAAAAUUCUAUAAAUAGCUCCCUGUCCUGUGAACCACUUAUUGAUCUAUACUUUGCAGCAACCUCAUUAUCAAUUCCACUAGCAUGACAUUCACCAAUCACCUGCAACAGAGCAACAGUCAAUAAAGACAAAUAACCACGACUCUGCAAAUCAAUUUUUUUUUUCUUUUAAAGCAAAACAAGAAGAGGAUAAUCUAAUCCAAUGUACUUCCUUUUUUCAUUUAUUAAUAAAAGAAUCCUGUAUAAUUGAUAUUCAUCAAAAGUAAAUUACAAAUAGGCAGACCAUUUCCCUCUCAAUUUUUGGAUAUCCCUUAUAUAGAUAAAUAGCAUCCAACUUUAGUUCAGAACAGCCUCCCAAUUCUCUAAAAUAAAGGAUGAAUCCAGAAAUCCUCAAGAAAUUUAACCCAUAAUGAUCAUCUGAACCAAACUCACAUUGGUUGGCAAAGGGCAAAAAUCUCCUCCCGUUAACACGUGCAUAAAAUACGAACUAUCAGAAAAGUAGAUAAAAAUGCAACAUACCCUAGCAGCAAUUCUCAGGAUAAUAUCUUGGUGUUGUUGAGGCAGUUUUGAAACAUUUGCUAUAAGUACAGGUCCCAUAUCUUCCUUUUCCUACAAAUGCAAGGUAAAAGAUUUAAUUGCGGAAUUGCUCCAAUAGCAAGCAAGCUUUCCAAAACAAGUAAAAGAAAUGAAGCACAGACCUUAAAACUCGCACGGUCAAAUGCCAUCUCAAUGUACACAAUGCAGAAGUUCUUAACCAUUGAAGCAGCAUUAGGUUCUGUAUACACUUUCCAUAACUCGGCCAAUGGCAAACGAAUCUCGAGCUGGUGCUUUACUCUCUUGUUCACAUGACUCAAUAUCUCAAGAACCUGUAAUCACAAUCACCAGGCAAAAAACUAUUAUAUAACUUGAAAUGCUUAAAAUUUAAUUCCCAAGUAAGUCAUUGUUGUAAUUAAACAGCCGCAUAAGAAAUUAUUUUUUUAUAAAUCGACAUAAAGAGUAAUUAAUUGGUAAUUAAAGUGAAAGGGAUAGGGAAAGAGGGAGAGGUUAAAUUGCCUUGUUGCGAACGAGAGUUGAGUGAGCCGAGAGAGAGGAGAUAGCGAGAGGGAGAAGCUUCGAAAGUAAGGCUUCGAGCUUGGAGUCAUCACAGAGAGCCAAUCUCGUGAGCAUACGAUCCAGCAAUUCUUCUUUCUCAUACUCCGAUGUCGAUGAAGAUGAUGAGUCCGCCAUUUCUUUUCAGCCAAGACAACCAACUUUCAACUGAUUGUUUUAUAGGGUAAGGGUCUGUCGAGCCUUCAGCCUUUGUCUUUCGGUUUGAUAUACUACACUUGGACCGGCCGCGGCCCACAUAAGUAUGUCUCCAUAUCGACUCCCCAACUCUUCAUAAUUAUUUUUUUUAAAAAAAGUUUAAAAAAAUAGUUAUUUUCUUUUUCUAUAUCGGGCUAAUUAAUUUUUCCUCUUUCAAAUUUCUCUUAUAUUUGAAUCAAAAGUUAAGUCCUAAAAUAAAUCUCAAUUUGAAAAAAUUUGAUACCACUUUUAUUAGCUCAAUGAGGUAAUGAGACCUCAUUUUUUUUAUCUUUAAAAUUAUAAGAGGAUACCAAGAGAAAAAAACGGGUAGUUUUGGUGUGUUAUAGUAAUACUAUGGAAUGAACAAUAACACUAUUUUUAUCUUACUCGUAUUUUCCUACUGUUUAAAUAUCAAUGCUCUUACAAGCCUAUUGAAAACUCUGCUCUUCUCAUAUAUUACCAAUUUACUACCAUCAUUGUUUACUUGGAUCAUCUAGAAAUCAAAAGAAGCAUUUCAAAUAUAAAAAUGUAGCUUUUAAUUAAUUAAUUAUACAGCACAGGAACACGUUUUAUCUCUAAAAUAGCAGUAAUACAAGCCAUGCAAUGUUAAAUUGUAAAGUAUUUGUUUGGUUUCUAAGAAAGUUACAGAGAGAAAAUGACAAGAGAGAAUGAAUGUGAAUCAUUUCAUUAAUCUGAAUGGUUUUACAAAGAUGUAUAUAUACAAGCAUUUCGAAUCUUCUACAUGCUGUUUAAGCUUUAGCUAACAACAUAACAACCUUCCUCCAGCUCAGUUGCCAAGUCAGCAUUAAUAACAAACUUGAUUAAACAAAUCAACUGAGCUUAACUAACUAAACCAUCUUAACUAAUUCUAUUAUCUUAACAGCCCCUCUCAAGCUCAAGGUCUGGGAAGAACAUUGAGCUUGGACCGUAGAUAAUGAAAUUGAUCAAAUGCUAAUGGUUUAGUUAGAAUAUCUGCUACCUGAUCACAACUUGGAACAUGAUUAAUCUGCAGCUCCUUUCUAGAUACAUGCUCUCUAAUGAAGUGUAGAUCAAGUUCAAUGUGUUUAGUUUUAGAAUGAUACUUAGGAUUGCUAGCAAGGGCUUCUGCACUUUUGUUAUCACAGUAGAGAACUGGAGACUGCAGCAAAGACACUUUUAGUUCUUUGAAAAGAUAUGUGAUCCACAAUACCUCAGCUGUUGUCAAAGCCAAAGCUCUGUAUUCUGAUUCAGCUGUACUUCUAGAUACUAUAUGCUGUUUCUUAGAGGACCAUGAAACCAAGUUGUUGCCUAAGUAAACACAAUAUCCCCCCACUAACUUCCUAUCAUCCAGAUCAGAUCCCCAAUCAGCAUCUGAAAAAGCUGUAAGACUAAGUGAUCCAGAUGAGUAAAAUUGUAAACCAUGAUCUGCUGUAUACUGCAGAUACCUCAACACCCUUUUGCAAGCUUGCCAAUGAAGUACUGAUGGAUUAGAAAGAUAUUGGCUGAGUUUAUUCACUGUAAAAGCAAUUUCAGGCCUUGUUAGUGUAACAUAUUGCAAUGAGCCAACCAAACUUCUGUAUAGAGAAGGAUUCUCAAACACUUCACCCUUGUCUUUGACUAAUUUCUCUGUUGAGCUCAUUGGUGUUGAACAGCCCUUGCAGUUCACCAUUUGAGCUUUCUUGAGCAAAUCACCAAUGUACUUAGUUUGUGAUAAGUGCAAACCAUCCACAUUUGGAGUUACCUCAAGACCGAGAAAGUAAUUAAACUCCCCAAGAUCUUUCAAGGCAAACUCGGCACCCAACUGAUGUAUCACCUUUUCUACCAAAAGAGAAUUUGAGCCUGUGAUCAAAAUAUCAUCUACAUAGAUUAGUGCCACAAUAAUUUCUCCUGCCACAUGAUGAACAAACAAGGAAGUAUCUGAUUUGGAUGUCACAAAACCCCACUGAAUUAAAGAAGCUUUCAACCUGUCAUACCAGGCUCUUGGAGCCUGUUUGAGUCCAUAAAGUGCCUUAGUGAGUUUGCAGAUAUGAGCUGGAAAUUGAGGAUGAACAAAACCCUCAGGUUGAUGCAUAAAAACAUCCUCUGUAAGAAUGCCAUUAAGAAAGGCAUUGUUAACAUCUAGCUGCCUAAUUGUCCAGUGAUUCAUGACAGCAAGACUCAGAAUUAUUCUGAUGGUGCAGGGCUUUACAACUGGACUGAAAGUUUCAAAAAAAUCCACCCCUUGUGUCUGAUGAAACCCCUUGGCAACCAAUCUGGCUUUGUACUUUGAUAUGCUGCCAUCAGGGUUAUAUUUAAUUCUGAAUACCCAUUUGUUUCCAACAAUCUUCCCAGCUGUUUCUAGAGGAAUAAGAACCCAGGUUUGAUUCUUUUGUAGUGCAUCAAAUUCUUCUUGCAUAGCUUGUUGCCAUUUGGAGUCUGCUAGAGCUGCUUUAACAGAUGAAGGUUCAAGCUCUUGAGCUACUGUUAAGUAUGUCUUGGGCUUAAACACACCAGCUUUGGAUCUGAUAGUCAUGGAAUGAAUGUUCUGAAUUGAAGAUGUCUGUACUGGCUGAUGAACUUGGAUGUGUGGUGAUAAAUUUUGAGAUGAAUGGCUUGGAGAUGAAUGUGCUGAAAAUGUAUGGGAGUGACUUGAAUCAGGUCCUGCAUCUGGAUUUGAGGGAAUAGCAUAUGAUUGUGCAUUGUUGCUGUCUUGAAUGACUUCUGUAAUUGGAAUAUUUGAAAAAGAGACUUGACUUGGUUGGAUGGAUGAGAGUUGUGAAUCAGACUUUGUAGGAAAGAGUUCAAAAUAAGGAAAUUCUGAUUCAUUAAACUGAACAUGUCUAGCAAUGUAUGUUUUACCAGUGGAAUCCAGGCAUUUAUAUCCCUUGUGUAUGGGACUAUAGCCAAUCAUUAGGCAUUUUUGUGUAUGAAAAUUGAGUUUAUGGUUAUUGUAGGGUCUGAGAAGAGGAAAGCAAGAGCAACCAAAAGUUCUAAGGAACUUGUAAUCUGGUGGUCUACCAUGAAGUUUGGCAAAAGGAGAAACAUUAUUCAACACUGGGGUUGGCAUUCUGUUAAUAAGAAAGGAAGCUGUAUGAAAUGACUCCCACCAAAAAGAUAAAGGCAUUUUAGCUUGUGCAAGAAGUGUUAACCCAGUUUCUACAACAUGCCUAUGCUUUCUCUCAACUACACCAUUUUGAUGAUGUGUGUGGGGACAACUAUGCCUAAAAUGUAUCCCUUCUGCCUCAAGAAAUUUUUCAAAGCUUCUGUACUCCCCUCCCCAAUCAGAUUGUAAAGACUUUAGAGAGAAACCAAGUUGUUUUUCAACUAAGGUUUUGAAAUACUUGAAUGUAUCUAAAGCUUCUGACUUAAGGGUUAAUGGAAAAAUCCAGCAGUAUCUGCUGUAAUCAUCCACAAAACUAAUGUAAUAUCUAUAUCCAUGUAGAGAUGGUAUAGAUGCUGGACCCCAAAGAUCGGUAUAUACAAGUUCUAAAGGAGUUUUUGUUUUUAUGCCUGUAGAGUAGAAGGAAAGUUGAUGCAUUUUACCAUAUUGACAAGCAUCACAAAAAUCAGGAAUAGAUGCAGAAAGUGCAAGAGAGGAUAAUAUGUUUUUCAAUGCAUGUUUAUUAGGAUGACCAAAUCUUUGGUGUAACACAUUAGCAAACAUAGCUGGGUUAACAGUGCUCAAAUGACUCUGAGAAUUACUUGUUUGAGUACAAACUUUAUUCAAAGACAAACCAGAAAAGUUACAAGCUGACUGGUUAAAAACAGAAAGCAUAGAACUAGGAUUAUGACUGGUGACACAUGAACUGGAGAGAAAGUCAUCCUUAGACAGCAACUUAUACAGUCCUCCUCUAGCAAUCCCUUGAGCCAGAUGCACUCCCUUCCUCUUGUCCUUAAUAAAACACAUAUUGGCAACAAACUCAAUGGUUAAAUUGGUAUUUUCAAGCAAUUUGGAAAUGCUUAUGAGAUUUUUAGUAAGAUGAGGUACACACAAGAUAUCUUGUAAAUGCAGAAAAGAAUCACAGGAAGUGGGGAGACAAGUAUAUCCAAUGUGUGUAAUUUUCAGACCUUGGCCAUUACCAACAUGUAGUAGCUGAUUACCUGAAUAUUCUCUUCCAAGGUUCAAGUUCUGCAGGUUGUAAUGCAUGGUGAAGAUUCACAGAGGACUACCAACAAAGUGUUGGCUCCACUGGCAAUGGAGUCCCCUUAAGUGGCUUGACUGGGUUUGCUCCCCAGUUCGAGUCGCAGGGAAGUCGCCUUUGUUGGGAGAACCUAUGCCUCCCAGUUUGAGCGGGGACUUCUAGUCUGGGUUGUGGUACGGGCUUAAAGGUGCCUCCCACAGUUGGGGCCCUCCCCAGGAUACCUCGUGAUUAAUAUCAAAAAAAGAUUCAUAGAGGACUUGCAUGUGUUGUUCAUUGUGAUUGCACUUAAGGGGACUCCAUUGCCAGUGGAGACAACACUUUGUUGGUAGUCCUCUGUGAAUCUUCACCAUGCAUUACAAGGAAACUAUCUUUAGCAGUUAUAGAAUUUUUAUAGGUUUGGAUAUGUUGGAACUGCUCUAAGGUAGAGCACCCUUCAUAACCAUACGAUUAAAAUUAUAAUAAAUAUUUUAUUAUUUAUCAUUUUGCGUGUGUAGCUGAGAUUCGUACUCCACCAUAGAUAAACAUAGCCACAACCUUUUAUAAUUAUUAUAAGUUCUUUACCCCCCUCUUAUAAUUAUUACAAGUUCUUUAGCCCCCUCCUUUUCUUUUAUACGACGUAUAUUACAAUAUGUUGAUAUUUAGAUAUAGACAUCUACGGAACCGUCUUUAGAUUAAAUUUAUAUAGUACUAGUGAUUUUUCUACAAAUUAUGACAAACAGAACAGAAUUAAAAGACUCAUACUUGAACAAUUAAAUAUUUAAAUUACACGAGAUAAAAUGAAAAAAAAAAAUUACAUAUUGUUAGAGAAACGGGAGGUAAAAUAAUGGUUUGAGCCGUUUUACGGCAAGAAUGAGGGUGUUUUAGUCUUUUUCUAGAUGAUUUUGGCAUAUUGAUGAACAAAUUGAAAUGAAGUCGGAUUACUUUGGCAAAUUCGGACUACUUUUCAGUGCUGGGACAUGAACUCAUGAGGUGAUCAAAAUGCACAUGGCGUAGUAGGAGGACUGGUAAUGUAAUAAUAAUCCUUAUCAAUGUGCAUGUGUGUACUCACUCUUCAUAAAGGACAACUGGCAGAAAGUCGUAAGAGUUGGGUAUAAAUUUACUGAUCAGUUAGCCGACAAGCCAAUGAUUAAGUGCCAGAUGUAAAGAACUCAUCGGAUAAUGUUUUUUGUCAGCCAACAAUGUCCAUUGAAUGAGCAUGUACUUGCACAUGGGGAAACAUCCCUUUGAAAGCGACUGUUCAACUCCUAGGAAUGAGCAUGUGAGUGAGUGAGUGAAUCUGUGAAUCCGCUUAGCUUAUCUUAUGGGUCUUGCUCUGGUGUAUGCGCAUGCACAAUGCUAUAUUUGCAAGUGGCAACAAAUUUUCAAAACAUAUAUUGUACGAAGGACCUUACUAGCCCUUGUUAAAUACAUGAAAAACCAUGCACCAGCCGGUGACCUUAGCACUUACCUUUAUUUUAAUGUUCCUUUUUUCAGCUAAGCUUUUGCACUAAAUUUCAUGCUAUUGUAGGGAAAAGCAUCACAUGACAUGCUCCAAAAUCCAGAAGGCUAAAUCACUAAUCAUUAGACAAAGUUAUUCUUAUCUCUUAAAAAAUAGAAAGCCACUUCCUUGUACUUCCUUUGUCAUGAUUCAGGUAAACUAACUUAAUUAAUAAACAAAUAGAGAUAAACUAAUUUACCAAAAUAAUAAUAAAAGAUUGUGGUGAUAUUAAGAAAGAAAAUAUGACAUCUUUUAUGCUUCAUACACAUAUAGCUUGGUUUCAUUUUCAAGAGCUAAAUUUGGAUGAAAUAAAUAAUUCAAUUGAGGUGUAGUUGGAAGUUGGAACAGAAUAUAGAGACUGAUGAAGAAAGUAACAAGGGAUUUUUGACAUAUAGCUAGAAACUUGCUGCUAAAAUUUUGCUUAUUUGGUUAGAGAUCUAGUAAAGAGAAUUCAACAUAUUGCAAUAUGAUUCAUGAAUCAUACCAAAGAGCUAGCUAGAUUUUAAUUUGUUUAUUUAACCGAUCUCCCUGAUGAACAAGAGUAUCUGGGUAUUAAGAGAAGACUUUCUGAGUAAA
rnacentral:lncRNA from 1 species